rnacentral:lncRNA from 1 species
UGGAAUCUGAGCCCAGACAUUUCCGCACCCAAAAGGUGUUCGAUGAAAUGUCUGAACCACUAAUUCCAGAGAUUCGUGGCUCUGUACCAAGGUAUUGGUUACAGGGAGCGUUUUGACUUAGAUUUGUUGUUUCGUAAUGCCUGUUAAGUUAGCUCUCGUCAAUGGUGAUUGAGUCUGGGACUAGCUUUGCUUGAGGAUCUCUGUUGCGGUAGCACUUUGAUUUGGUUAUUGAACUUGUUGUCUAGGGAUAGUUUGUUGAGCAUGUUAACCACCUGUUAGAUUAAGGAGACUUCACUACUCGAUUACCCCAUCCUCGGGAAUUUCUCUUCCAUUUGAUUUCCUUGUUUACAUCGCUAUUGAUUGCUUGAUCUUGUCACUUGUUGCUUAGUUUUAUCAUUUCUACCAUGUUUCAUUUGAAGUACUCGACCACACCCAGUAGUUUGGUAACAAACUGUGCAGUCGAGUACCCUGUUUACAGUUUCUGUUAAAUUACUCGACCUGAUACUCGACCACAUCCAGUGCUUGGCAUCAAGCUGUGUGAUCGAGUAUAUUGCUUGUCAUUGUUAGAAUUCCUGUUUUUGCAUGAUCACCUAGGAUUGUUAGAAACAUCAAAACCUGUUAUUGCUUGGCUUGACUCUGUGAUAUCUGAUUGCAUCUUGAUUGCUAGCAUCACACCCAUUUGGAUUGACACCUUAAAUACUUCAAUGACAUGAUAGUACUUUAAGGAUAAUUGAUCUUAGCUAAAAUCCUACUAUCAAAGUGAAUCGGGUUUAUUUGGGUGUUUGUGUGUUACAUUUGAGAUUUCAGACUUGCUUAGAUCAAGUUCUAUUUCCAUUUUCACUUAGGCUACUAACUUUGUGUUUUUCUUGUUGUCUUCUUGAUCCAGGUACAACCCUGCUGUAUGCAAACUCGAUCAAAAGGCAACCAGAACCUCCUUUUCAACGAGCUUCAUCUGAUCAAGCUGAGCCGGGAUCCGAGGUGGAGGUCAAUCUGUAGUGGCUGUGUCCACUUUAAACUGGGGAUUGUCCCAUUUAGUUUAAACUCAAUUUCGAACUUGUUUUUGGCCUAAGGAGGCUUUAUAAUUUCUUUUGAACAAGAUAUUUGCCUGAGGAGGCUUUUAAACCUUUCUAGGUUACGACCCAAGGGGGUAUGGUUAAAAUUUAUAUGCGGGUUUGCAAAGUCCGCUUUUAACCUUUUGUGGCCUUGUGGUUAUGCUUUUGAGAUUUUUAGGCUGAUCAGACCUUUCUCUUUAGAAUACGAGAGCUGAGCUCGGCUUAAAGCGAGUUCUCCACUUCGGGUUUAGUCAACUCGAUAAAUUUAUUGGGCUUGGGCCUUAAAAACUUUUGUAGUUAAUGCGACGGUUGCUCUUUCCCUUCUUAAGGAAAACGGCUCGUCUUUUAAUGCAAUAACUGCCUUUUCUCGAUUUUCCAAAAAUGGUUUAAACCACUCGGACACUCUACCAUUAAUGGAUUUAUGGUUCCAAGACAAACCCUAAAUCAUUAUAAAUAAAGGCUUACCUACCUCCAAGCUUUAUUUAACUACGUUUUUUUUAGAGUCUUACUUGAGUAAUUUGCGAGAAUGGAAAACGAAAAAGUAGCUCCCAUUGAUCCCGGCAGCCCACUCUUCUUGUCCGGCGACGGCUUUGAACCGGCCGGCGUUCUCUUCCCUCACGCCGUCUUUCACUUUCCUUCAAAGGAGAAGAAAGAGGCUUGCGAUUUUAUUGACAAGGUAAAUAUUUGAAGUUUUUUGAUUCAAAAACUUUUUGUUUCAUCUUAUUCACUCAUCGUUAUGCUAGGUCGCCGACAAGCACCGUCCCUUGUGUGAAGAGAGGCAGCGGCUGGGCCUCAAAAGGCAAACACUCGAGGCUCGCAUUGCUCGGGUGGAAAGGAAGAUACGGGCCUUGGAAAGUGACCCCUUUCAAUGGGAGUGGCGGAACUUCGACUCCGUCGCUGAGAUCCCGAAGAUGCUUCGGAUGUAUCUCCGCGCUAAAGGAGUCCCGGGUCCCGUGAACGCCCCCGUCUGCGCCGUUCCAUCUGACAGCGAAGAAGAAGACGAAGAGGAAGCCAGCACCUGUCGGAAACACGUUCGGGAUCAUCCCGAAGUGGAUGCCAAGAACAAGGCAUCCACUUCGAAGACUAAACCGGCGAUGAAGGAGCCUGUUCCUGAGCCUGUUCCUGAGCCUCUUCCAUAAAUGUCCUCUAACUUUUUUACUUACUUUAAACUCGUAAUGGGCUUCGGCCCCUUUUUAUUUAUGGAAACAUUCUCGACUUUCUUUUCUUUUCAAAUAUCCUCGGAGAUGCGUCUUUAAAUGCAGGAUCUGUUCGAGGGCAUAAAUCUCUCCGCGAAUCACUCCAUUCUUUGGAUAGAAUCCGCAGCUUGCUAAGGAUAUGGGGUUCCUAUAAAUAAUAGUUUCAAUUUCCCUUUACUCCUCACCAUUCUUUUUAUUUUAGUAGGUAUGGAGUUCAAUCUUCGCUGUUCAGAAUCUAUGCCUGACUUCUCCAGAAUCGGAAUGAUGAGCGAAGAUGUUCCAAAUGAGCCAAACAGUCAGCCUCCUCCACCUCGCGGCUUCUUAAGAUCUCAGAUCCGAGCCCCAUGUGCUUUGAUCAAGGAUCUCCCAAUCAGAGACCAAGGAACAGCGACGGCGUUCAUAGAGGCACUCGAGCUUCAACAUCGGAGGCUUAUGUUGGAAAAGAGGAGACUCCGGAAAAGGAUUAACCGGAUGCAACGCAGGCUUACUACGGUGUCAAGAGAUCUUCACAUCCUUGAAUCUCACCCCGGAGAGUGGAUUGAGCUUGGAAUCUCUGACUUUGCUCGAAUUCCGGACUGCAUGAUGCCAAUCCUCGAUCUUGCUGGUCAAGGAGUUGAAGUGUUCUGCUCGUCAACAAGAUUUUCAUAGUCCGAAGUGUACGAUGGGGGACAUUCCGUCUUUUGAAUAAACGUUCUAUUCCCAAUUUCUUGUAUGUUCGCUUAGCCGAACCUUCUAUUUGCUUCACUUGUCCGCACAAUCGAACCUUUUUCCUUUAAUAAAGAAAUAAAACAAAUUUUUAUUAACAGCUGAACUCGUUUCCGAGCUGCCUACGUACCCAUUUCGGGAUCAAGCCACAUCGUAGUUCAUGUACAUAAACAAUGCAUGUAGCUUUAAACAUAAAACUUCUUUAGGUUGAUCACAUUCCAAGGUCGCUUGACCGGAUUGCCUUCUAAGUCUUUCAACCUAUAAACACCGUUCCGAACCACUUCGGUAAUAAUGUAAGGUCCUUCCCAAUUAAUACCGAGUUUACCGGCACCUUCUUCUUUUUUGUUGUCAAAGACGCGCCUUAAUAUAUAAUCUCCCACGAAGAAAGGCCUACUUUUAACCUUAGAAUUGUAAUACCGGGCUGCUGCCUGCUGGUAAUUCUGGAUCCGAAUUAGAGCUUGAUCACGCCUUUCAUUUAUGGUAUCUAGUGAAUCAUUAAGCAUUGCUGAAUUUUCUUCCUCAUUUAACGGUGCUUCUGUUCGGCGAAGUCCGGGCACAUUGAGUUCAGCUAGUACUACCGCCUCCAUGCCGUAAACCAAAGAGAAUGGAGUUUCUCAUGUAGGCCGCCUAGGGGUUGUACGAUAGGCCCAUAGGACGGGUUGGAGUUCUUCAUACCAUCCUCCCUUUAGAUGACUUAAGCGUUUCUUGAGAUUGCUUAAUAUUGUCUUGUUUGCGGCUUCAGCUUGACCGUUUCCUUGCGGAUAUCGUGGAGUAGAAUAACUAACUUUGAUUCCGUAGUCCGCACAAAAGGCAUCAAACUCGUGUGAAAUGAAUUGCGGUCCAUUAUCAGUGACUAUUUCGUAUGGAACUCCAUGUCGACAUAUAAUGUUUUUCCAAAUAAAGGUCUUCACCGCCGAAUCCUUGAUACCAACAUACGCCUCAGCUUCAAUCCAUUUUGAAAAGUAGUCCGUAAGGACUAAAAGGUACUGUACACCUCGAGUUGAUUUGUGUAAUGGUCCAAUGAUGUCCAUUGACCACCUCAUAAACGGGUAUGGGGCGGAAAUGGAGGAAAAUAAUUCCGACGGUUGAUGGAUCAAUGGUGCAUGGAGUUGGCAGCGCUUGCAUCUUUGGGCGAACUUAACACAAUCUGUGAUCAUAGUGGGCCAAAAAUACCCCAUUCUUUUAACUUUAAAAGCCAUAGCUCUUCCUGAUGAAUGACUCCCACAUAAUCCUUCAUGCACUUCGCUCAUGACGAUUUCGACUUCGGGCCCAAAAAUGCAUAAUAGGUAAGGGUCACUGACACCUCGUCUAUAUAACGCAUCCUUUGACAGACAAAAUUUCGCGCUAACGACUUUCAUUUUCCUGGCCUGCCAUUUAUUCUUUGGGAGCUCACCUGUCGUGAUGUAGUGCUUUAUUGGCUCCCUCCAGUCAGCCCCCCAGUCUUUAGCCGGAAUUUGGUCAACUUUGUGAAAUAUUCGUGGCUCUGGUUUGGGAUGCUCGUUUGGUUCAAGAAUAUCCUCUUCGAUUAAUGGCUCGGUUUCUAACAUCGUUUCUGGAAUCACUUCUUCAGCUAAGACAACGGGUUCCUUGUUAGAUGUAUUUGAUCCCUUUGACUUCCUUCGUUUGUUGGAUGGUGGUUCGAUAUCUGGUUUGCCACGGUCGCGUGCCGCUGCUCGAGAUCUUGUAACGACGAGGGUUUCUUUGCUGUCUUGAAUGCUUCGCUCCGAAAUGCACUCCACUGGAAUAACUCUCUUUAACUCAGGAUCUGAUGUUGAUGCCAAUGCGGCAAGUGCAUCCGCAGUUGAAUUCUCUCCCCGAGGUAUGCGGAUUAAUUCGAAUUUCGAGAAAUUUUUAGAUAAAUCCUUCACCACUUCGAGGUACGCUUCCAUUCUUGAAUCUUUGGCUUCAUAGUCUCCAUUAAAUUGGUUAACUACUAAUUGCGAAUCGCAAUAAGCCAAUAUUUCCUUAGCUCCAACUCCUUGUGCUAAUCGAAGUCCGGCAAUCAAGGCUUCGUAUUCUGCCUCGUUGUUGGAGGCAUUGAAUAACAACCGGAAUGACUGUUCUAGAAUUUCUGAUGUUGGAGACUCCAACUUGAUUCCCACUCCGGAUCCUUGUUUUGUUGAAGACCCAUCUACGUGUAAUUUCCAAGUUUGGUUCUCCGGUUGUUCUAUCGUUCCAGGUAUUGGUAGUUCGGUCAGGAAAUCUGCUAAGACCUGAGCCUUCAUACUGAUCCGGCUUUUGAACUCUAUGUCGUAUUUGCUUAAUUCCACACCCCAUUUUGCCAAACGUCCGGACUGAUUUGGACUAUGAAGUAUUGUUCGGAGUGGUUGGUUGGUUAAUACUUCUACCGGAUGGGAUUGAAAAUACGGGCGCAGCUUCCGGGCCGAAGUUACCACCGCGAGUGCAAGUUUUUCCAUCAUUGUGUAUCUUGUUUCCGGAUCCCUCAUUGACUUGCUCAGGUAGUAAAUUGGUUUCUGCUCCCCACGGUCUUCCCGAACCAAGACUCCACUAACCGCGUGGUUCGAAACCGACACGUAUAAAUAAAGUUUUUCAUCCACUUCUGGUUUGGACAAUAUAGGCGGAGUGGUUAAGUAUGCCUUAAGCUGCCCAAAAGCUUCUUCACACUUCUCAUCCCAAAGGAAUCCUUUGUUCCCUUUUAGAAUUUGGUAGAAGGGCAACGACUUAUCUGUUGAUCUUGAGAUAAAACGAUUCAGAGCCGCAAUCCGCCCAGUCAACCGUUGUACUUCUUUGAAAUUUCUUGGAGAGGGCAUGUUUAGAAAGGCGUCAAUUUGAUUUGGAUUGGCUUCAAUCCCUCUUUCUGUCACGAUAUAACCAAGAAAUUCUCCGGACGGGACUCCAAAUGUGCACUUCGCCGGGUUCAGCUUCAUUUGAUAUUUGUUGAGAAUAUCAAAACAUUCCUCUAGAUGCUUAACGUGAUCCUCUUUUUUUAAUGACUUAACUAACAUAUCAUCUAUGUAGACUUCCAUUGUUUUCCCGAGAUGAUUAUGGAACAUCUUGUUAACCAACCGUUGAUAAGUUGCUCCUGCAUUUUUCAAACCAAAAGGCAUCACCUUAUAACAAUAGAUACCUCUAUCUGUGAUAAAUGACAUUUUUUCUUGAUUUUCGGGGUUCAUCAUUAUUUGAUUAUAACCCGAGAAGGCGUCCAUGAAUGUUAACAGCUCGUUCCCAGCAGUGGACUCUACAAGUCGAUCUAUAUGUGGGAGCGGGAAACUAUCUUUGGGACAUGCUUUAUUUAGGUCUGUGAAAUCGAUGCAAACCCUAUCUUUCCCAUUCUUCUUUUUGACAACGACAGUGUUUGCUAUCCAUUCCGGGUAUUGCACUUCUCUUAUGGACCCUAUCUUCAAAAGUUUAUCUACUUCGUCAUUUACUAUUUUGGCUCGCUCCACUCCGAGCUUUCUUCUUUUCUGUUUCACCGGCUUGAAGCUCGGAUCUACGUUUAGCUCGUGACAAAUUAUACUUGGAUCUAUACCAGGCAUGUCUGCUGCUGACCAUGCAAACGAUGUUUUGUUUCUCUUUAAAAGUUCGACCAAAGCUUCUUUUAUUUGGCCAGUCAGAGUUGCUCCAAUUCGAAUUUUCCGGUCCGGCUUGUCUUCUUCCAACACCACUUCGAUUACUACAUCAUCUUUCUUCUGCUCGCUAGGAAAUUUUGUUCUUAGUCCCUCUUUUGCGGGCUUCGUUAAUUGCUAUUGAAUCUUCAUACGGUGGCUAGCUAGGUAACACGUCCGUGAAGCUUCUUGAUCUCCCCGAAUUGUUUCCACCCCAUUUGAUGUUGGAAAUUUGAUACAUUGAUGGUAUGUAGAGGGGACUGCUUUCAUUCGAUAAAUCCAGGGAGUCCCGAGGAUGAUGUUGUAAGCUGCGGGCUUAUCGAAGACAACGAAGUCCACGAUCUUCGAUACCUUCUUGGCAAGGACCGGUAGCUUGGUUGUUCCGAGAGACAUGGCUGACUCGCUUGUGAACGCAACUAACGGAGAUGGGGGUCCUACUAUGUCUCCUCGGCUGAUUCCCAUUCUUUCUAGAGUACUUAAAAAGAUCAAAUCGACCGAACUGCCUGUAUCUAUAAGGAUCCUUGAUACUUCGAAGUUGGCAACGUCAAGGGUAAUGACUAGAGCAUCGUCAUGCGGUCUUUCGAGGUACCGCGUUUCUUCUUCAUUAAAUGAUAUUGAUGCACCUUGAACAUCGACUUCUUCGCUUAAGCUUGCUUUGAGUAGGAUAUUUUGUCUAUGUUUCUUGAUGGAACUUAUCGAAUCUCCGCAAAAUUUUGAGCCUCCUAGAAUCACAUUGAUCUUACCCUUCGAACUCCUUGGUUCUUCCUCGUUGGAUAACCUUGGUCUUUUGGAAUCUUGAUCUUUGGAGUUUUCCUUUGUUUCGUGGUAUUCCUUCACAAAAUCUUUUAUAUCGAAUUUGGAAAGAUCUCCACUGGCCCUAAGCUCUGCGAGGUGCUUUUUAAGAACGCUGCAAUCCUUGGUUAAAUGUCCGGUUACUUUAUGAAUAUCGCAAUAUAGACUUUCAUCACGGACCCAAGUGUUUGAUCUUCCUUUCCCUUGGAAUUGCUUUCCGACGGUACUGUUGAAGGGUUGCGACCCAAAUUUCCUUGGUCCUUUGCUCUCCCUAGGCUCGAACUUCUUGGUAGGGACGGUGAUUACCGGUUUUUCUUGUUUAUUCCUUUUGGCAAAACUUUCUUUUUCGUCCUCUACCUCCAUCCAGUUGUUCGCGCGAAAGAGUGCAUCCUGAAUUGUGUCUGGUUUAUGAAGUAUUAAGUCUUCUUUAAACCUUGAAUCAUGUCGCAAUCCUUUUCGUAGGGCAGAUAAAGCUGAUUGCUGCGAGAUUCUUGGGAGCUUUGACAGCACUCCUUUGAAUUUGGUGAUGAAAACUCGAAGUGACUCAUUAGAUCCUUGCGAUAAGUUCCAAAGAUCGGCAUCCGAAAUGCUUUUAUCCAUAAGGAUGGAGUAUUGCUUUAAGAAUACGGCUGAUAGUUCGUCGAAAUUGCUGAUCGAACCCGGCUCUAAUUGGGUGAACCACAUUAGAGCUUGGCCACAUAGAUUCUCCGAAAAAAGCUUGCAGUAGCCUGCGCCCUCAUCAGCUUCAUCUAAUUCGACUCUUCCAGCAGCGAUCAGAAAAGCUGCGAGAUAGCUUUUUGGAUCCUCCAAUCCGCUGUAAGGGUCCAACUUGAGUUUCCGGGAAUCUUUGAUCCUCAAACUUGCAAUUCGCGAGAUGAAAGGUGUUCGCCUAGCCUCUUCAAUGACUCGAUUGAUGUCUGGCUCCGAACUUGUAGCUUGAUGAAAUUUUGAUUUCAUUUCUUUUAAUUCCUGGCUAACCUUCCUCAUGGUCUCGAACUGGUCGAGGUUCUCCUGCUCGUAUUGAGCUGCAAGUUGUUCUUCAUCUCCGAGCUGUGUCUCUUCUUCCAACGUCUGAGCUACAUUAUUAGUAGCACCAGGAGUUGUUUGUCCGCUGGUUUCAUUUCGUGCAGCGGAACUUGGCGAGUUGAAUAUCCCUCUUCGGAUUCCCACAAGGUUUCCUGCACUCAAAGAGCGAACACGAGUUUGUAUAGUAUUGACGUUUUGACUAAGAGAUACCUGGGAUGUUUGCAACGUAUCGACGGCCUUUUCCACAUCCGAGAACUUUUGUGAUAUGUCCGACAUGGUUUGCUGCAUAGCUUUGAGGGUUUCGGCCAAUGAUGUCUCAAUGGCGUCUCCUCCGGACAUUGUUUCUUAUCUCGGGAAUGUAGUAAAGAAAAAAUAUGACCACUCAAGAACUCUCUCUCCCCACAGGCGGCACCAAAAUGUGGAUGUCGGAUUCACACACUCAAGUAUUUUAUUAAGUAGGAAAGAUUAUUCUUGAGGGACAAAAAUGAAUAAGUAAAAACUUCUAAAUUGCUACGAAAAUUGCUAUAGUAUUUCUUUCUUGAGAGGAAGCCCCUUUUUACAUGGCCAUUGGCCUUUUAUUUAUACAUAGAGAAACGACAUUAAAAUGAAUAAUUAAGUACAAUUAUUCCUUCUUAAAUGUGUCCGUUUUGAUUCUUCGACUUUAAUGCUCAACGUUUGAAUUUGAGUUGACUCUGAUCUUCAUGGGCCUCGCCUUUUUGGCCCAAGUAUCCUUGAACUGACUUACCCGUGUCUUCUACACCGAACUCGUGCCACAGUGCAGUCACUUCGGAUUCUCGAAGUGGUGAUAACCACUUCGACCGUUCCUUCGGCUCAUGGGUUCAAUGGGCUUUGUCCUUUAUGGGCCAUUACCUUGACUACGUGGCAAUCUUUGGUUGGUCUCGGACUUCUGGUGCGGGAUCCGACACCAACAGGAUUGAUCUCGCCUUUCAUCGAUUGUAUCAAGAACGUCUUCUAAUAAUUUAGAAUUUAGUUCUUCGAUAAGAGGAGCUUUGCUCCGGCGUAAACCAGGAACAUUCAGUUCGGCUGGGACUACAGCUUCCAUCCCAUAUACUAAUGAAAAUGGAGUUUCUCCCGUUGCUCGUCUCGGGGUUGUUCGAUAUGCCCACAACACAGGUUGCAGCUCGUCAUACAAACCACCUUUCCGAGCAUUCAAACUCUUUUUAAGAUUGCUGAGAAUGGUUUUAUUGGAAGCUUCUGCUUGCCCAUUUCCUUGAGGAUACCUCGGCGUUGAAUAGCUAAGUUUUAUUCCCCAACCGGAACAAAAAUCUUCAAAUUCAUUUGAAAUGAAUUGAGGACCGUUGUCCGUUACUAUUUCGUAAGGAAUUCCAUGGCGACAAAUAAUGUGUUUCCACAAAAAUGUUUUUACCACAGAAUCUUGUAUAUUUACGUAGGCUUCUGCUUCGAUCCAUUUGGAAAAAUAGUCCAUUAGAACUAAUAGGUAUUGGACGCCUCGGGUUGAGCGAUGCAUUGGACCAACUAUAUCCAUUGACCACCUAAUGAAAGGGUAUGGAGCGGAUAUAGAUGACAGAAUUAACCGAUGCAGUCAGAAAUCAUAGUUGGCCAGAAAUAUCCUAACCUUUUGAUUUUGAAAGCCAUUGGACGUCCCGAAGAAUGACUACCACAAAGCCCUUCGUGGACCUCGCUUGUCAUUAUUUCAACUUCGGGUCCGAAAAUACAUAAAAGGUAAGGAUCACUAACGCCUCGCUUGUACAAUGACUCUUUAAUUAUACAAUACUUAGCGCUGAUGAUUUUUAAUUUGCGAGCUUGCCGUUUGUUCGAUGGAAGUUCCCCAUUAAGGAUGAAAUUUUUGAUGGGUACCCUCCAGUCAGCCCCCCAAUCAUUAGCAGAAGUAUUAUCCUUGAGUAUAAACUUCCUUGGUUUGGGUUCGGAAGGAAUAUCAGGAUCUUCGAUUGUUUCCCGAACCUCUUCAUCACCUGGAGGUGUCUGUUCAGUUCGAGACGGUUCUUCAGCGGGAACCUCUUGAUCCUUUAAUUUUCUUCUUGGCUUUCUUUUAGGAAGUUCCAAUGGUGAAGUAAGUUCAUCAUCUUGAGAUUUUACUCGUGAUCUGGUGACCACAAAUGAACUAUUUUCAUUUCUGGAGCUUGACUUUGGAAUUUCGAUAUGCUCGGCAUCCAAAAUGUUAUCGUUUUCUGUUUCUUCAACUGAAAUACUUCGCAAAGAAAUACAUUCAACUGGGAUAACUCGUUUGAGCUCGGGAUCUGAGGUAGAUGCUAGGGCAGCUAAAGCGUCUGCCGAAGUGUUUUCUCCCCGAGGGAUUCGAACUAAUUCGAAGUCUUUGAAUUUUCCGGCUAAUUUUUUUACAGCCGAAAGAUAGGCUUCCAUUCGAGGAGCCUUAGCUUCGUAAUCUCCAGCGAUUUGGUUUACAACCAGCUGAGAAUCACAAUAAGCUAUUAUUUUUUCUGCUCCAAUUGCAAGAGCAAGCCGAAGUCCUGCUAAGAGAGCUUCGUAUUCUGCCUCAUUGUUCGAAGCCGGAAACAUUAAUCGAAAAGACUGUUCGAUUAUUUCCUUUGUCGGAGUUUCGAGCCUAAUACCGAUUGCCCAACUAGACAAGUAGAAAGGUCGACAAUCCUAAUGUCAAAAUCGGAUGCUAAUCUUGUUACACCAAGUGUGGAAAAUUCCAAUUCUUGUAUGAUACACUUGCUCUUGUCAAAGAAUGUAGAUUCAGGUCACAUUAUGGAGCAUAAAGAUAAUGAAGUUGAAAGAAGUAAGAGCGUUGAGAAGCAACCAUCGAAAACGCUAGUAAGUGGAAUCUAUGAUCUUAUUCGCUAUUGGAACUAUUCCACAAUUCAUCGUUGCAUUAAGUACUCCGUUUUAAUUGACUCAACUUCUAGUAUAAUUCACUUGAUUAUAUUCUUAAGUGUCAAGAGAAAAACAGGUUGCGUCGACUUACGCCAUAAAGGGAGAGAAACCGCAGCAAAAAAGAGCUUAACUUCGGAUCCAACGGAGGAACUAACAAGGCAUGUUAACAUACCACCAUAUCCAGAGCCUAUGUUGUGUCUACCAGCUACUAAGGAAAGAGAGGAUGUCACCAACAACUUUUUACCUCAAGAAGAACCCCCAGAUCAAACUUCAAGUUCUUUUGCUUUGCUAAACACGGGACAUAAGUUCACCAUCGAACUUGACCAAGUAAGUAGUUCACUUGUUCAAUUUGUUUCUAAUAGUUUGAGUGAUGUGAUAAUGAACUUAAUAAGCACUGAAGAAUGUGAGCAAAACGUAGGUUCUUUAAAUGAUCUUAUGGAACGAAUUUCUUGUCGUAAAGAAGAUCGAGUAGUUGAUACACUUUGUGAUAUACUUUGUGAUACAGUUUAUGGAUGAGAGAUUGUUCAAACUAAACUUGUUUUACCUGCUUAUAUUGUUGCCAUGACUGCCAUAACACACUUGUUUCUUGCCCAAAGUGUUGAUGAACUUGCAGGUACCAUCAAAGAACACACGAAACAUAAAGACGAUUCACCGGAAAAGAAGAAACUCGUGGACCAAAGUCAAAACUUGAGUGGACCAGCACCAUUAAUGAUCACACCACCUGUCAUGGAGACUAGGAGAGUUCCAAACUCUUGCCUAAUUAAAGAGGAACCACCAGAUUUUAAAGCUCAAGUCAAAACCCGAGAAGGAGCUACACAAGGAACACCACAAACCAUUACACCAGACCCAAAAGGAGGAGUGAUCCUUUCCUUCUGUCCCAAAGAACAGCCAUCUGAUGCACCAUGCAUCACCAAAUCACCACCACAUCAAGGUAAGACUCUAGCCUCCCGAAAACGAAUAAAAGCUAACUUGCUUUCUCUUGGUGUAGAUUCUAUAGUUUCGAGGACGAAAAUUUUUCAAGGGAGAGGGUAUGAUGCGGACAUCCAAACCACACAAUACCAGGAUGAUGGGAGAAUCAAACCAGCAGCUGAACCAAAGCUCAUUCAAACCGGAUGCACAACUCCAAUCAGACCCGACAAGGACAUAUGCUCAGUAUUUGAAGCAUAUCAGCUCAAACACGACGAUUCAAGGCAUGAAACCACUGGGAGAUUGUUCACAGCUCAGCUACAAAACAUCACGAAGAAGAAUCAUCCAAAAAUCUAUUACCAUCAAGAAGUUAUGGAAGUUACAAGUCAGCAGACCUCCAACCGACGCGACGGAGACAUGCGUCCAUUCAUUGAAUCACCCCGGGCGAACCAGGAGGAACCGAGUUUUAAAACAACUUGUUUUGGAAACUUAACCCAUCAGAGGAGCUUGUCGAAUUGGAAUCAAGUCGAUACCAAUUUUGGUUUGAGAGAUAUUAAGUUUCUAAACCGGAGGACCCUGGACUUGCCUUAUUUGGAGUUUUCCAACUUUGGAUCUUUACAAACGUAUGUGUGGCAACCAGGGGAGCUUCUACAUCAUCUAGAAGACCUUAAGAGAAUAUUUAUGUGCAGAAAGGACCAUUGGAUCAGGUGGAUCCAAUCUUACCCAACCAUACAUCAAGACUUACUAAAUAUAGACCCGAGAGCAUUCAAUGCCCAUCCCCAACGGCUAUGUUCUGAUUUGAGGCAUCGAAUGAGUGUUUCCAUAAGGCUUCUCAAUCAUGGUUACACCCAGAAGCUUUCUAGAUACAAAGGAGGCGAGCACACCUUCCAUUUAUGGCCUAAAUCCGCCAUAAAAGCUCCAAUGGCCACAAGAUCAAGGCACCAUCAACACUUGAUCAUCUAUCAUUUAAUUUUGUGUAUUUUAUUUCUUAUUUAAGCUUUAAGACCGUUUUCUACUGUCCUAGAGUCGAGCCUAUAUAAGCUCAAGUCAUUUCAUUGUAAUACUCACCCUUAAUCAUCGAUUUUAAUAAACGUUAAGUUUUCUUUCAAAGACAAGUUCUUUGUGUUCCUUUUCAUUUUGAGUUUAGUGUGAGAUACACUCUUCUCUUGUGAAGCUGCGGAUCAGUUUGUUGUGUGAUUCAACAUUCUUAUUCGUUCAUUGAUUGAGUGAGUCAAUCGCAUCUAUCCAUCGUCUCAUCCCUUGAUUCACGAGAGAGUGCGUUAUAGCCAGCUCGUGAAUUCCACCUUCCGCAAAUUAAGCUUGGAAUCUCUUGAUCAUUGAGUGAUCAUAAGUUGGAUUGGUUCCAAUCUUAUAUCACUAACCCAACCGGGGAACAAUUCCCCUGGGUCAGGGAAAUCUUCCUAUUGUCGACGGAUUCCUUAUGGAAGAUCUUGAUGUCACCCGAUCAGACGAUUUCAUCAAAGUUCGUCAAGAGCUUAAUGAAAUGAAGUCGAAAUUUCAUCAGGCUACCAGUUCGGCGCCUGAGAUCGAUCGAGUAAUCGAAGAAACUCGUCGAACGCCCUUUACCUCAAGAAUCUCGAACCUUCGGAUCAAAGAUUCUCGAAAGGUUAAGUUACCAGCUUACGAUGGUAAAGGAGAUCCUAAAAAUCACCUCGCUGCUUUUCAGAUCGCUGUAGGCAGAAUUGAUCUAGAACCAGGCGAGGAAGAUGCCGGAUUUUGCAAACUAUUUUCCAAGAAUCUUUCCGAACCGGCUCUGUUAUGGUUCACUCAGUUAGAACCAGAAACUAUUGAUAGUUUUAAGGAAUUGUCCUCAGCAUUCCUAAAACAAUAUUCUAUGUUCAUGGAAAAGGCAACUUCUGAUGCGGAUCUUUGGAAUUUAACCCAAGGUCAGAAUGAACCACUUCGCAAAUAUAUCACUAAAUUCAAAGAAGUGAUAGCCAAAAUUCCUGGGGUAUCGCACGCAGCUGCCCUUUCUGCUUUAAGGAACGGACUCUGGCAUGAAUCCCGAUUUCGGGAAGAAAUCAUCGUCAAUCGUCCGAGUACCAUCCAAGAUGCUUUAUUCAGAGCUACUAAUUGGAUGGAGGUAGAAAAAGAAAAGCUUAGUGUCGCUAAAAAGCAUCGGCCAGCUAAAUUAGUCGUUGCGAAUCCAACUAAAAAGUUCGAAUCAAAAGAUCAAACACGGUUCGGAGUUAAUCCUGCUACUAAUGUUGUAGGAAAACCCUCUCCAAACAGAGGAAGAUACAAUCCCCCUAAUACUUGGGUUAGAGAUGAAAGUGCCUAUUGUGAUAUUCAUAAAGUAAACGGGCACUCCAUCAAAGAUUGCAGCGUGCUAAAAAAGCACCUCACCGAACUGUGGGCAGCUGGAGAGCUCGCUAAUUUCAAUAUCGAAGAAUUUGUGGAAUCAUACCACAAAGAAAAAGAAGAUUCCGAAGCUUCUAAUCCUCCUGAAAAGAAACAUAAGCCCAAUGGGCCAGGAACUCCGAACACUCCUAAGAAAAGGAUCGAUGUUAUAAUGGGAGGAUCCAAAUUAUGCCGAGAUUCGAUCAGAUCAAUCAAAAGGGAUAAGAAAUCAGCAGCAAUUCAAACCGUUGUGGGUUUCCAAUCAAAUGAACAAAUACCUUCUAUCUCCUUUGAUAAUUCGGACAUUCAAGGAUUAACAGAACCUCAUGAUGAUGCUCUUGUAAUAACUUUAGAUGUUGCAAACUUCGAAGUGACGAGGUGUCUAAUUGAUACUGGAAGCUCGGUAGAUCUCAUAUUUCUAAGCACUUUGCAAAGAAUGGGAAUCAGUAAAGCCGACAUUAUCGGUCCACCAGCGCCAUUUGUAACUUUCACGAGUGACAAAUCUAUGUCCUUAGGAAACAUAAAACUACCAGUGCUCGCCGCUGGGAUUCCAAAAAUUGUAGAAUUCAUCGUUUUUUACCGUCCGGCCGCUUACAACAUAAUUCUCGGAACCCCGUGUGUUGGGGUCAGAUCCCACACAUCUUCGGUAGGAUCUACUUGGAUCUGUCCACGUCAUUAUUACAUAAUAAUCCUCUUGGAUUUCUAGAUGUUUCAUUGCGAGAAUCGAGCUCGACCUGUCGGAAGUUCGAUUCAGUUUAUUAAAGAGCUCGAUAUUUACCAGUACGGAGUUCGCUCUUAUUCAACAUACAUUUCGCAUAAAGGAAGGCCGAAGCGAGGAGAAUACUGUUCGAGGUUCGCGGCAGGGUCAAGACGCAGGAGUUCGGAGUCAACAAGAAAGAGUUCGGAAGAUCCACGCGAAGCCCAAGAUAGUUCAAAUUCAAGCCGUUUCGGUCAAAUUGUAACCUACAUGAUUAAUGCGGAUCAAUGCGAUUAUGAGCAGUAAAUGACCGCAUUGAUCAUGUUUUCUCUAUAAAAACAACCUCAACGCAUGUGUUUGGGUGGAGAACAAUUUUUUACCUCUUACGAUCAAGCAAUACAACAUACGCUUUCUUUUACAAUUUUGCAAGGCUUUUUACUAUUUUAUUCUUGCCAAGCUCUUUCGCUUUAUUUAGUUUCUUGGUUACUUUCCUUUUCAAAUCCUUGUUUUCAUUUAUUGAUUUUAGAGUUUUUCUCCACAAAAAUUAGUAAAGAAAAUCGAGUGUGAAUCCUACAUCCACAUUUUGGCGCCGUCUGUGGGGAGUUACCGCAAAACUCUUUAAUCUCAAAAUCUCUCUUUUUCAAACCAAGAAACUAUGGCUGAUCAGCAAGCUUUGAGCAAUGCAAUUGCCUCGCUUACUCAGUCAACCACCGAUCUGACCAAUCAGAUGGGUACACUCGCAAGUGCCAACGUCACUUUUGGUGAAAGGUUAAACUCAAUCGAGCAAACUUUAACGAGUGUUCAAAAUACUCAAACAAAUUUUUCAAACGCGCAGAACGUUGUUUCAAGCCGUUUAGAUAAUUUGUCCUCAGCACAAACGACAGCGUAUCAGCGCAGGUGAUGAGAUCAUGGUCAACAUGACCGCACCACACGAACCCGAGGAGCAGCUUGUACCGGAGGAACCACCAAACAAACCCAAGGAGCAGCUUGUACCGAAUGAAGCACUAAUCGUCCCGGCGGGUCCUCUAACUCGAUCAAGAUCCAAAAUGUUCAAUCAAGCAAUCAAUGGACUACUUAGGGAGCUAGACAAGAAGCAAGAAGACGUGGCCCAAGUCUCCCUUAUGAUGAUCACGGCCCAAAGUGCUCGGUAAAGGGAUAAGUGUUGCUUACGCACUCUUUUUCCCUUGUCAAGUUUUGUCCCAAUGGGUUUUCUUGACAAGGUUUUUAAUGAGGCCUAAGUAACACUUUCAAGCCUCCCUUUAUCAGCCCAAUUCGUGGUCCAAGGCCCAUCAGUUUGCCUUGGCCCAUUAUCUUAAUUUAUGUUCAAACUUUGCAUUUAAUGUCGUUGUAAUUUCCGAGACGCUUUGCAUGAGCUUGCAUGAGUGUUGACUUGUGCAUGCUCGUGCAUGUUCUCCUUCUCCUCUCUUCUCCUUCAUACUCCUCUUCUUUAUAUUCUCCUUGUAGCUCACAUUGGCAAACCAUCAAACAUUUUAUCAAAAAUCUCUCUUCUACUUGUUUGAUCCGAGAAGUGCGUAAUAUCUUCUCAACUUGUUUCCUUCUUAGUGUGUAAUAUCUAAGUUGUAUUCAAGCUCGUAGUCUAAGAGAUUUCCACCUCUCUUGGAAGUACAAUUCGUUCCCCUUCACUCCGCUGCAACCGCUCACCCGUUUGACCGUUCAUCUUCCACCUUCGAUCUCGCUCUUCUUCCAUUCCGCUGCAUCCUUCAUGUUCAAAACCAACAAAGUGUGUUCUUGGGAGUAGAUCCUCAUCUAGGAGUCUAUCAGCAGGCUAUUCCAAACUCCCAUACAAAACAGAUCCGGGAGCACUCAAACUCCUCCUACAGGCCGUCCUGCUAGUACUAGCAAUCAGACAACCGUAGGAGAUGGGUCCAAUCCUACCGGGGAUGAAAAUCCCCAAAAUCAGGGCAAUUCUGCUAUUGACGAAGGACUCCUUAUGGAAGAACCUGAUGUCAUCCUUUCCGAUGAUUUCGUCAAAGUUCAUCAAGAGCUUGACGAGAUGAAGUCGAAGUUUCAUCAGGGGACCAGUUCGGCACCUGAGAUCGAUCGAGUAAUCGAAGAAACUCGACGAACACCCUUCACUUCGAGAAUCUCUAACCUUCGGAUCAAAGAUUCUCGAAAGGUCAAAUUACCAACUUACGAUGGUAAAGGUGAUCCUAAAAAUCACCUCGCUGAUUUUCAGAUCGCUGCUGGCAGAAUUGAUCUAGAACCAGACGAGGAAGAUGCCGGAUAUUGCAAACUAUUAUCUGAGAAUCUAUCCGGAUCGGCUUUAUUAUGGUUCACUCAGUUGGAGCCUGAAUCUAUUGAUAGUUUUAAGGAAUUAUCCUCCGUAUUCCUAAAACAGUAUUCCAUGUUCAUGGCAAAGACAACCUCUGAUGCAGAUCUAUGGAAUUUAACCCAAGGUCAAAACGAACCACUUCGCAAAUAUAUCGCUAAAUUCAAAUGAACAAACACCUUCUAUCUCUUUCGAUAAUUCGGACACUCAAGGAUUAACAGGACCUCAUGACGAUGCUCUUGUGAUAACUUUAGAUGUUGCGAACUUCAAAGUAACUAGGUGUCUAAUUGAUACUGGAAGCUCGGUAGAUCUCAUAUUUCUAAGCACUUUGCAAAGAAUGGGAAUCAGUAAGGCUGACAUUAUCGGUCCACCGGCACCAUUAGUAGCUUUCACGAGUGACACAUCUAUGUCCUUGGGGAACAUAAAACUACCAGUGCUCGCCGCAGGGGUUCCUAAAAUUGUAUAAUUUAUUGUUUUCGACCGUCCGGCCGCUUACAACAUAAUUCUCGGAACUCCGUGGAUUUACCAAAUGAGGGAUAUACCUUCAACUUAUCACCAGUGUGUGAAAUUUCCGACUCAUGCAGGAAUCAGAACCAUUCAAGGAGAUCAGGAAACGUCGCGAUCUUGCUACCUCAUGGGACAUCGUUUAAAGCUUAAAUAGCAAUUAAUGAUAAACGCUAAGCAAGAAAUCACUUCGCGUUACCCAAGUGGUCUCAGUUCGAGUGAAGUUACCACAGAAAUUGAAAUUGAUUCCGAAUUUUCAGAUUGAAAAGUAAAAAUCGGUACUACUUUAGAUUUAGAAAUCAAAGAUCAGUUGGUAUCAUUUCUAAAAGAAAAUAGACAUACUUUCGCUUGGACGGCGAAAGAUAUGCCUGGAAUCGACAAAAGUAUCAUUACCCAUGAUUUAAACGUCGAUCCCAGUUUUAAACCAAUAAAGCAAAAAAGAAGAAAACUUGGUCCAGACCGAGCUCAUCAGAGAAGUGAAAUAUCCAGACUGGUUAGCAAACCCCGUGGUAGUCAAAAAGAAAAACGGAAAGUGGAGAGUAUGUGUUGAUUUCACCGACAUUAACAAAGCUUGCCCAAAAGAUAGCUUUCCUCUCCCACAUAUCGAUCGGCUCGUUGAGUCAACAGCCGGAAACGAACUUUUAACAUUUAUGGAUGCAUUCUCUGGAUAUAAUCAGAUCAUGAUGAAUCCCGAAGAUGAAGAGAAAACAUCCUUCAUAACAGAUAGAUGAAUCUACUGUUACAAAGUUAUGCCAUUUGGUCUAAAAAAUGCCGGUGCAACAUACCAAUGUUUAGUUAACAAAAUGUUUUCAGAACAUAUGGGCAAAACGAUGGAGGUGUAUAUUGAUGAUAUGCUCGUGAAAUCUCUUAAGAAAUCUGAGCACAUCACACAUCUCGAGCAAUGUUUCAAAAUUUUAAACGAGUUCGGAAUGAAAUUAAAUCCAGCUAAAUGUUCCUUUGGCGUGCCUUCCGGAGAAUUCCUGGGGGUACAUAGUCACGGAAAGAGGAAUAGAAGCAAAUCCUAAUCAGAUUAACGCUUUCCUUACUAUGCCUUCGCCAAGAAACAUAAAGGAGGUCCAACGAUUGACAGGCAGAAUUGCUGCAUUAAAUCGUUUCAUAUCGAAGUCUACCGAUAAAUGUCUCUCCUUUUAUCAAAUUUUGAAAGGGAACAAAAAAUUUCGGUGGGAUGAUCAAUGCGAAGCGGCAUUUGGUCAACUCAAAACUUAUCUAACAACACCGCCGGUUCUCUCAAAACCUGAAUUAGAUGAGAAACUUUAUCUCUACAUUUCAGUUUCUAACCAUUCCGUAAGUGGGGUUUUAGUUCGAGAGGACCAAGGUGAGCAAAAGCCAAUUUUCUACAUAAGUAAAUCUCUUACUAGUCCAGAAACGAGAUAUACCAUGAUGGAGAAAUUAGCUUUAGCAGUGGUCAUAUCUGCUAGAAAACUCAGACCUUAUUUCCAAUCUCAUCCUAUAGAAGUACUAACUUCCCAUCCGCUUCGCUCAAUUCUUCAUGGGCCAAGUCAGUCCGGUAGGUUAGCGAAAUGGACAAUCGAACUCAGUGAGUACGAUAUAGAAUAUAAAAGUCGAACUAGCGCAAAAGCACAAGUUCUGGCUGAUUUUCUAACCGAACUGCCAUUAGAUGAUGGAAUCUUUGUUGAAACGGACUCUACAUGGAAAUUACAUGUAGAUGGCUCUUCUUCUAAACAAGGAUCCGAAAUCGGCAUUAGGCUCGAAACUCCGACAAAGGAAAUAAUUGAGCAAUGAAGCAGAAUACGAAGCUCUUUUAGCAGGACUUCGGCUUGCUCUUGCGAUUGGAGCAGAAAAAUAAUAGCUUAUUGCGAUUCUCAGCUAGUUGUAAACCUGUUCGCUGGAGAUUACGAAGCUAAGGCUCCUCGAAUGGAAGCUUAUCUUUCGGCUGUCAAAAAAUUAGCCGAAAAAUUCAAAGAAUUCGAAUUAGUUCGAAUACCUAGAGGAGAAAACACUUCGGCAGACGCUUUAGCUGCCCUAGCUUCUACCUCAGAUCCUGAACUCAAACGAGUUAUCCCAGUUGAAUGUAUUUCUUCGCGAAAUAUUUCGGAUGAAGAAAUAGAAAACGAUAACAUUUCGGAGGCCGAAUACAUCGAAACUCCAAAACAAAGUUCCGGAAAUAGUUCACUUGUCAUCACCAGAUCACGGAUAAAGUCUCAAGAUGACGAACUUACUCCACCAUUGGAACUUCCUAAAAGAAAGUCAAAAAGAAAGUUAAAGGAUCAAGAGGUUCCCAUUAAAGAACCAUCUCGAACCGAACAGUCACUUCCAGGUGAUGUAGAGGUUCAGGAGACACUCGAAGAUCCUGAUAUUCCUUCCAAACCCGAACCAAGGAAGUUUAUACUCAAGGAUAAUACUUCCGCUAAUGAUUGGGGGGCUGACUGGAGGGUACCCAUCAAAAAUUUCAUUCUUAAUGGAUAACUACCAUCUAACAAAUGGCAAGCUCGCAAAUUAAAAAUCAUCAGCGCUAAGUAUUGUAUAAUUAAAGAGUCAUUGUACAAGCGAGGCGUCAGUGAUCCUUAUCUUUUAUGUAUUUUUGGACCCAAAGUUGAAAUAGUGACAAGCGAGGUCCAUGAAGGGCUUUGUGGUAGUUAUUCUUCGGGACAAGCAAUGGCUUUCAAAAUCAAACGGUUAGGAUAUUUCUGGCCAACUAUGAUUUCAGAAUGCAUUGAUUACGCCAAACGGUGUAAAAAGUGUCAGAUGCACGCUCCUCUUAUUCACGAGCCAUCUGAAUUUCUAUCACAUAUAUCCGCUCCAUACCCUUUCAUGAGGUGGUCAAUGGAUAUAAUCGGUCCGAUGCAUCGUUCAACACGAGGCGUCCAAUACUUAUUAGUUCUAACGGACUAUUUUUCCAAAUGGAUUGAAGCUGAAGCUUAUAUAAGCAUACAAGAUUCCGUAGUAAAGACAUUCUUGUGAAAACACAUUAUUUGUCGCUAUGGAAUUCCUUACAAAAUACUAACAGACAAUGGUCCUCAAUUCAUUUCAAAUGAUUUUGAAUAUUUUUGUUCCGCUUGGGGAAUAAAACUUAGCUACUCAACGCCGAGGUAUUCUCAAGGAAAUGGACAAGUGGAAGCCUCCAAUAAAACCAUUCUCAGCAAUCUUAAAAAACGCUUGAGUGCUCGAAAAGGUGGAUGGUAUGACGAGCUGCAACCUGUGUUGUGGGCUUAUCGAACAACCCCAAGGUGAGCAACAGGUGAAACUCCAUUCUCAUUAGUUUAUGGGAUGGAAGCCGUAGUCCCAGCCGAGCUGAAUGUUCCAGGUUUGCGUUGAAGCGAAGCUCCACUUAAGAAAGAAUCGAAUUAUAAAUUAUUAUAAGAUGUUCUCGAUACAAUCGAUGAAAUGCGAGACCAAUCCCUUAUUCGACUUCAGAAUUAUCAACAGUUGACCGCUCGCUACUAUAACUCAAAGUUGAAAAACAGACCUUUAAAUGUAGGAGACUUAGUUUUAAGGCGAGUGUUCGAUAACACAAAAGAAGAAGGAGCUGGAAAACUCGGUAUUAACUGGGAAGGCCCUUAUCAAAUCACUGAAAAAAUCUGAAACGGUGUAUACCGUUUACAAGACCUUGGUGGAAAUCUCGUUCAAAGGCCUUGGAACAUAAUCAACUUGAAAAAGUUCUAUUGCUAAAGCAAACACAUUCGAACUACGAUUUGGCUUGAUCCUAGUCUAGGUACGUAGGCAGCUCGCUAGUCACGAAUCAACCUAUAACAUUAAAAUAAAAAUAUUAUUCCAGUCAUGGAAUUCUAUUUUUAUAAGACCGGAUCUAGAAGGGUCUUGAAUUACGGAACAACUCCGCUCCUUGACCAGCGAAGUCAACGAUGCUCAUAAUGCAACCUGGCAUGUUUCCAUACUCUUGAAGUCCCAGUUCGAUCCAAUCGGAAGGAUGGGCUUCGAGGCGAUGAAGCUCGCGUGAAAUAUUGAGGCGACGUUUCUCUAGCUCCAUUAUCCAUUUCCUAAUCUUUUUCUUCUCAUCUUCGAGCUCGUCAUGCCGAGUGAUAAGCUGAAGAAAAUAAAACGCUACGGUUAGCAAUAACAAAAAGAAGUUAAUCACUAGGAUGGAAAAUACCUUAUUGAUAAACUCCUCAGCCUUAACACGAUCUUGAGGCGACAAUCUCUCGAUUAAAACGAUCGGAACCUGAAUGCUAGUUCCCUUCUUCAAUAUUUGAGAAUCUUUUGGUUAGCCAGACUCUUUUGCUUUUAUAAGCUCGAUGUCCGACGUCCUCGAAGGAUCAACAGUCAUCACUUUGAACAAGUCUGAAGGAUUCUCUGAUGAAUUACCUCCCUUGAACAUUUUUGUAGAAUUGUUUUUGAAAUUCAAUGACAGACUACACCCACUUUAUACUCGAAAAACUAUUCGAUUGCAUUUAAGAGGAUUAAUUGACAAUUUCUCAAAUCUGAAAUUACGAUUUUCAUGGAAAAUGUGAUCGAGUUAAUUGCUAAUUAUAUUCCCUAGAUUAAACGCAUUAAAUGAGAUUUGAAUAAAUCGGCGAAUUUAGAGCGAAAGGGGAAAUGUAAUUAAUGUUGCUGGGUUUCAAGACCAGUGACAUUUUACAAACAUAAAUAGGAAAGUGUUCGAUCAAAAGUCUUCGCCCGAUAAUGACUCCAGCGAGGUGGAAGAUCCCGAACAGCUUUCCGAGGAUAGCCCCUCGUCAGAAGAUAAAUCAAAAGGGCCGAAGAAGUCAUCAACAAUUUUCGUCUCCGGUUCCUCUUUUUCUUCAGUUCUUAACAUCGGAAGUCUCCGGAACUCUGAGGAACAUGAAACAAAAGAGGACCCAUCACUGGUCGCCAAGGAUAAACGAUGAAAUUUAUCCAGCAUGCGGAGGAAUCUUCAGAGGCAAGUAGGCAUUAUGGCCACGAUGUCUAGACCAUUCCUCUCCCAUUCGUGCGGUUCAGAUUCCAAGCGAAGGAUCUCUCUUUCCAUCCUCUUUAUGCGCUCAUCAAGAGCACGGCGCCUCCUUCCGAUUCUUUGUCUCUUCUCACAUAAAGCUUUGUGUCUCCCGACGAUCUGUUUGAACGAACAUUUUGUCAAAUGACCAAAAGAAAGGAAGUUAUAGUUUUCUGAGAAGACUAAGAGUUAGAAAAGGAACCUUUUCCAGGAAGUCAUAACAUUUGACCCUUUUCUUCCCUGUUCGGAAAUGAAAAAACGUUGGGUGAAUAACUCCCUUUGGAGAGAAUCCGUCUUCGGACUCAAACAAUGGGUUCCCACUUGAAGUUGUUAUUCUUGAGCUUGAUCUGAAAGAAGACAGCGGCAUUUUUCAAGUUUUUUCUUAUAAUGAACUAUGGUGAUCUUUCGGAAUUCCUUUUAAAAAAGAAAGAGGUUCAGAUUUCUAAAAAUAAUUAUAUAUUGUUGGCCUAUUGGAGCAGGCUUCAGAUCCAAUUAAAACGCGGCCCAGCGAUUCCGAAGCCAUCAUGGGCAACGAUCGAAAUCAUUGCUUGGUCGUAUUUAUGAUAAAAUUCUCAUGAAUUAUUAAUCUUAUCCCUCGAUAUAAAAAGAAAACUUAAGCCGAGCUCCAUCCUCGCCUUCGAGAGACCGAGGAAAAAUACUUAUUAAGAUUUUUUCUUUAAAAAAUGCAAGUGAGCGUGAUCAGCUCAUCUCUCACAAUUCAUAAAACCUCUUUGGCAGGCUAGGACUUGCAAACCUAGAAUCGUGUCCAAACGUUUUUGCUAAAAAAAAAAAAUCAUAUGCCAAAGCAUGUACAUGGUUGUGUUCGGUUACACUAAUUGAACAAAAUAUUUCCGUCAAACGGAAUAAUCCUCAUGGACUCAACAAAACAAUUCUUUAAAAAAAAGAGAGCGUUCCUACACCUCUGGAGAACCCUCAUGUGGCCGAGAACCUUCACCUACCUCGAAUUGAGAUGGGGAAUCUCCAAAUACCAAAGAAAAUUGUUUCAGAUCGAGAGUAGGACGGGAAGCCGAGGAUAACUCGGACUCAACCAUAGCGAGUUCGGCAGCAACUUCGCUCCUCUCGUUCUCGAACGAAACUCUCCCAGCCUCUAGUUCCUUAAUAAGGUCUAGAUUGCUCUUCAGUUCGGCUUGAUCUGUUAGAAGUUUAGUCCAGACCUCUUCGUCCUUGAUGAACUUCGUAACAAAUUGAAUAAGUUGCCUACCGAAUCCCCUCAUCUCUUCUCGAGCAUUAUGUUCGGCUUCAGCGAUAUCGCGAGCCCUGUUCCUAGUUAAAAGCUCGAUCUCUUGAUUUGCCUCUUCGAACAAAGUCGUAUUCUCCUCUAUCUCAGCCUCCAAGCGAAGAGCAUUAGACCUCGCAGAAUCUCUUUCAGCAUUCGGAAUUCUGAUGCGUUGCUCGUUAGCUGCUAGAGGUUUCUUCAUAUUUUCAAAAGACGACUCGAAUGCUUUUUCCCGCUCAAGUCGCUUGGAUUGGUUGGCUAAUCUGAGAUCAUCAACCUCCUUCUUAGCCUUUGCGGUCUCUCUCUUCGCUUGAUGAAGAAGGUUCUCAUAAUGGAAGAUCAUUCCAUUAGUCUCCAUAAACGCCUUCGGAGUAAAAAAAAAAACAUGUCGUUUAGACAAGAAGCUUUUACCUAAGGAAGGGAGAUUUUCAUAAUCUAAAAGAUCCGAACCUGGGAUAGGUAGCAAGCUCGAUUGGCGAACAUCUGACGUACUUCCGGCCUCCAAACCGAAAAUGGAGGAAGAGACGCCCCUUGCCUGGUUUGGAAACUUUGGAAGAUGUCUCCAAUCUCUUCUUCGCCUGCUAAGCAGAGGAGAAUAGCAAAUUAAUAAAAUAGAUGCAAUAUGUGGCAAGUUUUGCUAAUGCUCGCUUUUUAAGUAAAAACUUACCUGAAAUCGAAGCGGGUAAAGGAUUUUGAGUCCUAACACUCAGUCCUUGAGAUAGGGGAGCCUCCGAUCUCGGCUCAUCAAUUUCCUCUGAAAUUACUCUGUCACCCGGAAGAGGAAGCUCGGAGUUUAAAGGUUCUGAAGAGGGAGAAAUAGAACAUAGAGGGCUAGAGACUCGUGGGGGAGAACUUAAUCUCAUGGUUUUAAGUCUCUCGUUUGAUAGAUUAUCGGAAUCUGGAGCCUUCCUCUUUGUACAAGGAGAGGAGGUUAUUUCUCCCUCACACCCUGGUUCGGAAGGGCAAGUUGCGAUGGCAACUGGAGGGUUGUUAAGGAUCUUGGCUCCAUGAGUAUCCACCGCGGCUGACAGGGCUGCUUCUAAUGAACCGUCAUCAACCAAGAGGGUCUUCCUGUGGAAGUUACCAACCCUGGAGAUUGCAGCUAUCCGUUUCUUUCUCCCGAUUUCGGAUAGCUGAUCCUUAAGAGCCUUGAUUUCAGCCUGCAUCUUUAUUUUAUCUCGAGCAUUCAGGCUCGAGACGUCUUUCUCCUCGGGAGGAGGAUCGAGGGGGUGAGUCUGACCGUCUUUAAUGGCGAGCCCCGCUUUAUGAAUGCGUUGAAGGAUGAAGGAAUUCCAAUUUGUUUCACCCUCGGAAACGAUUCAAAAGGAGGAUAAGAAGUCAACGGUUGGGCGGGGGAUCGUCUGGUUUCCUGAAACAAAGUAUUGGGUUAAGAAUUCUAUCUCUUUUACUUAAUACAGUGGAAAGUAGUAAAGGUUGGAUUUUUAACCAAGUUUAGCCGACCAAUUGGCGAGAAGAAGAACGGAAAGACCUUGAACGCAAUGGGGGUUGACUCGGAAAAAGAACCAGUAUUUCCUCCAAGACCCGUCAUUCGAGGGCAUUCCGUCGAUCAGGUUACGGUCAAGGAUAGGGUUUAUAGAAAAAAUACCCGCUGUUGCGGAUUCACGGGCUCGAAAUAGCCCUAAGAGUUUACUGGUGGAGAGGGAAAACCCUGCUUCUGCCGAAACAGUCAGGGUACUCAGAACGUAUCGAAGAAAGUUAGGAGCCAUUUGGGGAAAGGCAAUCCCUAGGUGGAGGAGGUAUAAAAGAAGAACUUCCGGUACGGGAAAAAACAAACCACAACCUUUGAAAUAGACUUCGUACGCACAAAAGUAACCCUCUCGCACCACUUCCGGAGACUCGUUGGGUCUAGGAAGAGAGAAUUCAAUUUCCUGGGGGAUGUUACAAAGGCGGCAAAGAGCGCCAAGGGAAGCGGAGGUCGACUGAGACCUGAAAUGCGGACCAAAUUUGUCUCCCCUUUGGGUGAAGACUUCAUCCCCUCUGGGAACAGGGAUUCCUUGACUGUCAUCUUCGUUUUCCAAAACAUAGACGGCUGGGGAAGAUAUCUUUUACUAAGAGGUUUCUCUUUUUCUAGUUUGGUAAAAGCUUUAGAGGUAAAUGUACGCUGCUGUAAAAGCCGUCGUUCCAUUUAACCUUAUUUAGCGGAAAACCGCCUCGAGAAUAUUGGGAAGUGGGAUAGUUUUCCCCGUAGUAUUAAUAUAAAAUUAAGAAAUUAAAGAUGACGGUUGUCAGGGAUAUCAAAUCAUCUGAUUAUCCGAGAUCGGCAUAAUAGCGUAAAACCUGGAAUAAUUCCGGAAUGCUAAAGAUCUCGAGUCAUUAAUUACUGUUUACUUAAGUCUUCCAAGCCGAGCAUUCAGCUCGCAAGACUUGGGGGGCAAAAUGUUGGGGUCGGAUCCCACACAUCUUCGGUAGGAUCCACUUGGAUCUGUCCACGUCAUUAUUACAUAAUAAUCCUCUUGGAUUUCUAGAUGUUUCAUUGCGAGAAUCGAGCUCGACCUAUCGGAAGUUCGAUCUAGUUUAUUAAAGAGCUCGAUCUUUACCAGUACAGAGUUCGCUCUUAUUCAACAUACAGUUCGCAUAAAGGAAGGCCGAAGCGAGGAGAAUAAUGUUCGAGGUUUGCGGCAGCGUCAAGACGCAGGAGUUCAGAGUCAACAAGAAAGAGUUCGGAAGAUCCACGCGAAGCCCAAGAUAGUUCAAAUUCAAGCCGUUUCGGUCAAAUUGUAACCUACAUGAUUAAUGCGGAUCAAUGCGAUUAUGAGCAGUAAAUGACUGCAUUGAUCAUGUUUUCUCUAUAAAAACAACCUCAAACGCAUGUGUUUGGGAGGAGAACAACUUUUUACCUCUUACUAUCAAGCAAUACAACAUACUCUUUCUUUUACAAUUUCGCAAGGCUUUUAACUAUUUUAUUCUUGCCAAGCUCUUUCGCUUUAUUUAGUUUUUUGGUUACUUUCCUUUUCAAAUCCUUAUUUUCAUUUGUUGAUUUUAAAGUUUUUCUCCACAAAUAUACUUAAAGACAAUCGAGUGUGAAUCCUAUAUCCACACCGUGGAUAUAUCAAAUGAAGGCUAUACCUUCAACUUAUCACCAGUGUGUGAAAUUCCCGACUCCUGGUGGAAUUGGAACCAUUCGAGGAGAUCAGGAAACGUCACGAUCUUGCUAUCUCAUGGGACAUCGUUUAAAGCUCAAAUAGCAAUUAAUGAUAAAUGCUAAACAAGAAAGCACCUCGCGUUACCCAAGCGGCCUCAGUUCGAAUGAGGUUACCACAGAAAUUGAAAUUGAUUCCGAAUUUCCAGAUCGAAAAGUAAAAAUCGGUACUACUUUAGAUUCAGAAAUCAAAGAUCAAUUGGUAACAUUUCUAAAAGGAAAUAAACAUAUUUUUGCCUGGUCGGCGAAAGAUAUGCCUAGAAUCAACAAAAGUAUCAUUACCCAUGAUUUAAACGUCGAUCCCAGUUUUAAACCAAUAAAGCAAAAGAGAAGAAAACUGGGUCCUGACCGAGCUCAAGUGGUCAAUGACGAAGUUGAUAAGCUUUUGAAAAUCGGUUCGAUUAGAGAAGUAAAAUACCCGGACUGGUUAGCUAACCCCGUGGUAAUUAAAAAGAAAAAUGGAAAGUGGAGAGUAUGUGUCGAUUUCACUCACAUUAACAAAGCAUGUCCAAAAGAUAGUUUUCCUCUCCCUCAUAUCGAUCGGCUCGUAGAAUCCACAGCCGGAAACGAACUCUUGACAUUCAUGGAUCCAUUUUCUGGAUAUAAUCAGAUCAUGAUGAAUCCCGAAGAUGAAGAGAAAACAUCUUUUAUAACAGAUAGAGGAAUCUACUGUUAUAAAGUUAUGCCAUUCGGUCUAAAAAAUGUCGGGGCAAUAUACCAACGUUUAGUUAACAAAAGGUUUGCAAAACAUUUGGGCAAAACGAUGGAAGUUUAUAUCGAUGAUAUGCUCGUAAAAUCUCUUAAGAAAUCCGAGCACAUCACACAUCUUGAGCAAUGUUUCAAAAUUCUAAAUGAAUUCGGAAUGAAAUUAAAUCCAGCUAAAUGUUCUUUUGGUGUACCUUCUGGUGAAUUCCUAGGCUACAUAGUCACAUAAAGAGGAAUAUAAGGUAAUCCUAAUCAGAUUAACACUUUCCUCACAAUGCCUUCACCAAAAAACAUUAAAGAGGUCCAGCGGUUGACGGGCAGAAUUGCUGCGUUGAAUCGUUUCAUUUCGAAAUCUACUGAUAAAUGUCUCCCCUUUUACCAGAUUUUAAAAGGGAACAAAAAAUUUUGGUGGGAUGAUCAAUGCGAAGCAGCUUUCGAUCAACUAAAAACUUAUCUGACAACACCGCCGGUCCUCUCAAAACCUGAGUCAGAUGAGAAACUUUAUCUUUACAUCUCGGUUUCUAAUCAUUCUGUAAGUGGGGUUUUAGUUUGAGAGGAUCGAGGUGAUCAGAAGCCGAUUUUCUACAUAAGUAAAUCUUUUACCAGUCCGGAAACGAGAUAUACCAUGAUGGAAAAAUUAGCUUUAGCGGUAGUCAUAUCUGCUAGAAAACUCAGACCUUACUUCCAAUCUCACCCGAUAGAAGUUUUAACUUCUCAUCCGCUUCGCUCAAUUCUUCACGGACCAAGUCCGUCCGGUAGAUUGGCGAAAUGGGCAAUCGAGCUCAAUGAGUACGAUAUAGAGUACAAAAGUCGAACUAGCGCAAAAGCAUAAGUUCUGGCUGAUUUUCUUACCGAACUACCACUAGAUGAUGAAAUCCUUAUUGAAAUAGACUCUACAUGGAAAUUACAUGUAGAUGGCUCUUCUUCUAAACAAGGAUCCGGAAUCGGUAUUAGGCUCGAAACUCCGACAAAGGAAAUAAUCGAACAGUCUUUUCGAUUAAUGUUUCCGGCUUCGAAUAAUGAGGCAGAAUACGAAGCUCUCUUAGCAGGACUUCGGCUUGCUCUUGCAAUUGGAGCAGAAAAAAUAAUAGCUUAUUGUGAUUCUCAGCUGGUUGUAAACCAAUUCGCUGGAGAUUUCCAAGACUUCGAAUUAGUUCGAAUCCCUCAGGGAGAAAACACUUCGGUAGACGCUUUAGCUACCCUAGCAUCUACCUCAGAUCCCGGGCUCAAACGAGUUAUCCCAGUUGAAUGUAUUUCUUCGCGAAGUAUUUCGGUUGAAGAAAUAGAAAACGAUAACAUUUUGGAGGCCGAGCAUAUCGAAAUUCCAAAGUCAUGCUCCGGAAAUGAAAAUAGUUCAUUUGUGGUCACCAGAUCACGAGUAAAAUCUCAAGAUGAUGAACUUACUUCACCAUUGGAACUUCCUAAAAGAAAGCCAAGAAGAAAAUUAAAAGAUCAAGAGGUUCGGGAAACAAUCAAAGAUCCUGAUAUUCCUUCCGAACCCAAACCAAGGAAGUUUAUACUCAAGGAUAAUACUUCCGCUAAUGAUUGGGGGGCAGACUGGAGGGUACCCAUCCAAAAUUUCAUUCUUAAUGGAGAACUACCAUCGAACAAAUGGCAAGCUCGCAAAUUAAAAAUCAUCAGCGCUAAGUAUUGUAUAAUUAAAGAGUCAUUGUACAAGCGAGGCGUCAGUGAUCCUUACCUUUUAUGUAUUUUUGGACCCAAAGUUGAAAUAGUGACAAGCGAGGUCCACGAAGGGCUUUGUGGUAGUCAUUCUUCGGGACGAGCAAUGGCUUUCAAAAUCAAACGGUUAGGAUAUUUCUGGCCAACUAUAAUUUCUGACUGCAUCGGUUACGCCAAAUGGUGUAAAAAGUGUCAGAUGCAUGCUCCUCUUAUUCACCAGCCAUCUGAAAUUCUGUCAUCUAUAUCCGCUCCAUACCCUUUCAUGAGGUGGUCAAUGGAUAUAGUUGGUCCGAUGCAUCGCUCAACGCGAGGCGUCCAAUACCUAUUAGUUCUAACGGACUAUUUUUCCAAAUGGAUCGAAGCAAAAGCCUACGUAAAUAUACAAGAUUCUGUGGUAAAAACAUUCUUGUGGAAACACAUUAUUUGUCGCCAUGGAAUUCCUUACGAAAUAGUAACGGACAACGGUCCUUAAUUCAUUUCAAAUGAAUUUGAAGAUUUUUGUUUUGCUUGGGGAAUAAAACUUAGCUAUUCAACGCCGAGGUAUCCUCAAGGAAAUGGGCAAGCGGAAGCAUCCAAUAAAACCAUUCUCAGCAAUCUUAAAAAGCGUUUGAAUGCUCGAAAAGGUGGUUGGUAUGACGAGCUGCAACCUGUGUUGUGGGCAUAUCGAACAACCCCGAGACUAGCAACGGGAGAAACUCCAUUUUCAUUAGUAUAUGGGAUGGAAGCUGUAUUCCCAGCCGAACUGAAUGUUCCUGGUUUACGCGGGAGCGAAGCUCCUCUCAACGAAGAACUAAAUUCUAAAUUAUUAGUAGACGUUCUUGAUACAAUCGAUGAAAGGCGAGAUAAAUCCCUUAUUCGACUUCAAAACUAUCAACAAUCGACCGCUCGGUACUAUAACUCAAAGUUGAAAAAUAGACCUUUAAAUGUAAGAGACUUUGUUUUAAGAUGAGUGUUCGAUAACACAAAAGAAGAAGGAGCUGGAAAACUCGGUAGUAACUGUGAAGGUCCUUAUCAAAUCACAGAACAAAUCCGAAAUGGUUUUUACCGUUUACAAGACCUUGACGGAAAUCCCGUUCAAAGGCCUUGGAACGUCAUCAACUUGGAAAAGUUCUAUUGCUAAAGUAAACACAAUCUAACUACGAUUUGGCGUGAUCCUAUUUUGGGUACGUAGGCAGCUCGCUAAACACGAGUCCAGCUAUAACAUAAGAAUAAAAAUAUUAUUCCUGUCAUGGAGUCUUGUUUUUAUAAAUUCAAUAUUCGAACAUGAAUAUAAAAAUACAUUGCGAACGAUGUCUAAAUAAAUAAGUUAGAACCAGAUCUAGAAGGGUCUUGAGUUACGGAACAACUUUGCUCCUUGACCUGCAAGGUCAACGAUGCUCAUAAUACAACCUGGCAUGUUUUCGUACUCCUGAAGUCCUAGUUCGAUCCAAUCGGAAGGAUGGGCUUCGAGGUGAUGAAGCUCGCGAGCAAUAUCGAGGCGACGCUUCUCUAGUUCCAUGAUCCUAUGCCUAAUCUCUUGUUUCUCAUUUUCGAGCUCGACGUGCCGAAUGAUAAGCUGAAGAAAAUGAAAUGCUUCGUUUAGCAAUAAUAAAAAGAGUUAAAUCACCAGGUUUAACAAUAACUUGGUAAUAAACUCCUCGGCCUUGGCACGAUCUUGAGCUGAUAAUCUAUCAAUUAACACGUUUGGAACCUGAAUGCUGGUUCCCCAACCUAAUGGGCGUGAUUCUUUCGGUUCGUCGUUAGCUUCCGUUUUUACAAGAUUGAUGUCUGACGUUUCCGGAAGAUCAUCACUUAUCACUUUAAACGAGUCGGAGGGAUUCUCUGAGAAAUUACCUUCCUCAAACAUUUUUGUAGAAUUAUUGUUGAUUAAAUUCAAUAACGAUCUACAUCUGCUUUAUAUUCAAAAUAUACUUGACCACAUUUAAGAGGGUAAAUUGACGAUUUCCCAAAUCUGAAAUUAUUACUUUUAUGGAAAAUGUAAUCGAGUUAAUUACUAAUUAUAUUCCCUAGAUAAACGCAUUAAAUAUGAUUUGAGUGAAUCGGCAAAUUUAAAGCAAAAAGGGAAUGUAAUUAAUAUUGCUGGGCCUCUAGCCCAAUAGUAUUUUACAUAAUAAUAAUAAAAAAAACUAAGAAGGAGGGGGGUUCGCAGAAGGAACUUCAUCUGAUGGCGAACCGUCUUCGCGUUCAUCAGGUUUGAGGUUCCUUUGGUAGAUAUCCCAAUGCUUCUUCAGGAACCUAAUGUUUUCUCGAAGACAGCCGGGAAUGCGGGCGAUAGAAUCAAAUCCCUCCUCUCCCAGUUGUGAACGUCCGACUCCAAACGUCGGAUCUUCCUUUCUGUUCUAGCAAUCCGAUCCUCGAGGAUACGGCGUUUCGUUCCGAGGCGUUGCCUUUCGGAGUAGAGGAAAACGUAUCUUUCUGUGAUCUGUAAAAAACAGAUACAUUACGAAUCUAUUAAGUAAAACCUUUAAACUAUUGGUACUAGGUUCAAAUCUGCUCCAUGAAUUCAUGGCACUCGAUCUGUUCCUCCCUGGAUAUGGAAGGAAGAAAACAACGAAUAGCCACCCCUUGUGGAGUGAAUCCAUCCCCCGACGGGAAAAAGAUUCGCUUGAAGGGAAUCGUGGUGAGUUAGGACCAGAAGGUUUGCCUUGGGGAGAAGUCAUCUUAGAUCUAAAAAAGAAGGAAUACAAAGUUCUUUAAAAAAAAAAUCUAUCGGAAAAUUUCCUAAAUCCAAUUCUCCUUAUAUAGGAAAAAUAUGUAAGGUUGCUCACUUGAGUGUUUAUUGAAAAAGGAAGUUAAACGUCAAUCUGUUGAUCUAACUGUUAUGACCUUUCGAUUUUCGUGUACAUGUACAAACAAGACCUACGAAAUAUAGGUUAUUCAAGUAUUACUUAAAAACACCGAGUAGGCGAACUUAAUUUCGAACUCGAAAUUCGAAGACAAUCAAUAAAUGGUAUCACACCUUUUUUAUCUCUUAGGAAAAGCAAACAGUUCUCACUAGAGAUUUCCCUAAUCGAACACAUUUGAAGUAUCGCAAAGUGUUCUUGUAAGCCGAGCUCUAACCUCGCAACCGAGAGACCGAGGAAAAAUUCCAAUGUUUUUUCUUUAAAAAAGGCAAGUAUGUCUGAUCAGCCUAUCUCUCCUAUAAUCCUAAACCACUUCGAUUAGGAGGACUUUGCAAACCCUCCAGGUAAAAUCGAUGGUUUCCACCAAGAUUAAAUAUUUCUUUCUAAAGGAAUUUUAAUUAAAGAACCCUCUUGGGCAAAUUAUUCAAAACAAUAAUAAAAGCCCCCUUGGGUAGAAAAUUCGGGAAAGAAAUAAACGACCCCAUGGCCAACAAAGCGAAUUUCAUGUCUUAAAAUUAAAAGGGACAAUCCCCAUAAAAGGUGAAUGCAAUCGCCAUCAUUCAAUCAUAGGCGAACCGCCUUCAUCUCCUACUUGAUUUGAGACAAGAGCACUCCCGACGUCAGCGUUCUGAGUUGUGGGAACCACCUCAGGAUUGAGCGAGCUAGCGUCUUGAGGAGGUUCGCUCUUCGAUUCAAGGCCGUCUCCCAUAAUCGAGGAGAUGGCACGAUCACGACCAGAGAACUCUUGAGCUCGUCCCGAGGAGAGUCUGUCAACAUUGGUUCCAAACUCAUUAAAAUGAGCGCGAGGAGAACCCGUUAACAUCAUCUCGUCAAGAGACAAACCAAUAUUUGGCUCAGUCAAUGGAGGGGAAUCAGCGAACUCAGAAACAAACUGCUGCAAAUUCAAAUAUGGCUGAGGAGCAGUAGCUAGCUUAGCUUCAGUCUCAGCUAGCUUAGCUUCAGUCUCAGCGAGCUCAGCGCCAACUGUUUCCUUUUCCUCAGCCAAGUUGACCUUUCCGUCCUCUAUCUCCUUGAUCAGAUCGAGAUUGCUCUUCAUCUCAUCACGCUCGGAGUUCAGUUUGUUCCAAGCUUUGUUUGCAGUAAUAAAUUCCUACACAGCAAGAAGAAACUUUUGCCCAGCUCCUUUACCUCUUUUGCGAACAUCUCGAUCUUUGACUUCGGAAAGAGACUCAUUUUUGCGCUCGAGCUCCUCAGUAGUUGUUUUGAUCUUGUCAAGCUCUGAUCUCAGAAGCUCAAUCUCGCCCUUUGCGAAGUUUUGGUCAGCAAGGGCAAUCUCUAGCCUCUGCUCAGUUUCGAUUAAAAUCUUCCUUGUCUCCUCGCCAGAUCUCUCGAGUUGUUCGAUUUUCUCCUGGCGAGCCGAAUCAAGGCCAGCAGCCUCCUGCUCAAGCCGACUGGAAGAUUGCAGUUUCUCGAUCUCUCCUUCAGCAACAGCAGGUUUCUUCGAAACUUUGGUAAGCUCCUCUUCGUAAUAGUUGAUGAUGUCAUUUACGUCCAAAGUUGCCUAGUGAAAGAAGAUGCGUUUUUUCUUUUUUAAAAAAAAAAACUUUCGAAAUCAGUUAAUGAAAGGUGCAAAUAGUCAAACCUGAGAGGAGUGGAAUGAAUGGCUGACAUACAUCUUCUUGAUAUCAGGCUUCCACCACUCAAAGGACGGGAGUUUCUUCCCAAAGCAGGUGUGGAAGCACCUAAACAUGUUCCCAAUCUUCUCUUUUUCUAGAAUAAAGAUAGUUAUUUGAGGAUUGAGCUUCUUGAGAAGUCGAUUGAUCUCAAGUAACGGUAUGUUAGUUAAAGGUUACCUGAUUGGGAUGAAGCUCUGGCAACAAAUCCCGAGCUCGAAGACGAUCGAACCCUAGAAGUAUUACCUCGGGGACGUCUAGGGGGUAACAUCCCUGAACCCAGCGGCUCCUUUAAAACGAUUCCUGAAUCAGGAUUUACAUCCUGAGUUUCGGCAGAUUCAGGAAUAGGCAAAUUCGAAGAAGCAUUUCUGCCCUUGUGUUUUUGGGACGGCCCUGGAGUAGGGAUUCAAGUUCCUCGGCCUUCCUCUUUUUCAUGAGAGAAGAAUCACCUGUAAGGCCUUCUUCCUCAGCGGUGGCAGCAACCAUGUUGUUUGCUGCUGGGAUGGGGGAGGGAGCAUUGUUCACAGCAACCGCCAUUGACUUUGAACCUUCAAGAGAUCCAUCGUCAACAAGGAGAGUUUUCCGGUAGACUUUGUCGUCCCCGGUGGAAGUUGCGUUUUUCUUAUUUUUCUCGAUUAGGGAAAUCUGGUCUUUAACCUUUUUGUUCGCCUCUUUGAUCUUUCUCCUGUCUCGGGCAUUUAGACUCGAGAGAUCAAUCUCAGCAGGAGGAGGGUCGACGGGGUGAGUAAGUGUCAUUCUGACAGAAAACCCGGCGCCGUGAACUCUUUCCAGCGUAAAAGAAUUCCAAUUAAUUGGCCUCUCCAAGACGGCCUUGUAGAAGUUGAGAAAGUUGACGGAUGGAACUGGUCGAAUCUGAGGACGUGCGAGAAAACAAGGAAAUGUUGAAACGCAGUUUGAAAUAACAAACGGAAUUUAUUCAGUUAAGUCCUAAUUUCUACCCAAAUUCGAUGACCAGUGAGUUCGAAGGAGUUCGGAAGAACUCUGAAUAGAAACAUUAUUUAUGCGGAAGAAGAACCAAAACUUCCUCCAUGUGGUGUCCUUUAAAGGCAGGCCAUCAAUAAGAUUCCGAUCCGCGUUCGGAUAAAUGGCAUAAUACCCAGAAGUUAGGGAUUCGCGAGCUUGGAAAAGUUCCAAGAGUUCGCAGAGUCCCAAUGAGUAGUCCGUCUCCGCCGCAACAGUGAGGGUACACAAAAGAUACCGGAGCAUGUUGGGCGACAUCUGGGAGAAAGCAAUUCCCAGAUGGUUGAGGUAGACGAGAAGCACCUCAGGAAGGGGAAAGAAUAAGCGCACCCUUUGAAAUAAAUUUCAUAGGCACAGCAGUAACCUUCUCGCCCUGACUCCGGAGACUCGAAGGGCUCCGGAACUACCAUCUCUACCUCAGGGGGGAUGAGACAUAAUCUACGACGAUCGUUGAGAGAAUCGAUAGUUGAUUCACUAUGGGGGUGAAGAUCAAAGCCAUCUCCGGUUUGAAUUUGAGGUCCGGAUCCUUCACUGAUAUGUGUAUAUUUCACAUGUUUUAAGCAUCCAUUUAGCAUCACUUUAUCAUCAUUUUGUCAUUGUUUCAUACCAUUUCUCAUCACUUGUCAUCACUUUACAUGUUUAGGAUAGAUUUGCAUGCAUGUUGCAUAUUUGAGUGUUUUCAGGUGAUUUGGAGCUGUUGGCGAGCAGAUUGGGAGAAGCAGAGCAAAACCAACAGUAUCACUCGACCUGCCCAGUCGAGCACUCUCAGCAGCCAGCCUCUCAAAAUCACUCGACCACAUCUCCUCAUCACCAAGUGGAUUGCGCGGUCGAGCAUCACCAGCAGACUCUUCAGAUCACCACUCGACCUCGUCUUCAGAUCACCACUCGACCUCGUCUUCAGAUGACCACUCGACUGACCACUCGACCUCGUGGUCGAGUACCCUCUCCUUCACCAACUCGACCUACCACUCGACCUCGUGGUCGAGCACCAUCUUCUUCAGCCACUUAAUCACAAGCUUCAAAGUCUUCUCAGAUCCCAACUCAACCAGACACUGAGCAUAAGGAAGAGAAGAGGAUGAAGCACCACUCGACUCACCACUCGAUUGCAUCACGACCAGAUCAAGAAACCGCCAAGACGUCAACUUUACUCGAUUGCUCCUACUCGAUCACAAGAGUCGAGUACUCUCUUAAACCGCUUUAAAACCUUGUCGUUUUGUGUUUUAGGGUUUCCUAGUAUUUACUAUAAAUAGGUUGUUUCUCUUAAUUUUCAGGGUAAGUCUUUUUCUGCAGAACAAUUAGUGCUUUCUUCAUAUUUGUAAUCCAUAUUUCUCUUAAUCUAUUGAGUAUUUGCUUUUGAUUUCUUCUACAAAGUUGUUCAUCUUGUUGAGAUCUUGCUAGUAUGAAGUUUUUAUGCAUUUCUGGGUUUAUGUUCAUGUUCAUGAGUUUUGAGUAGUGAUUAGGGUUCUUGAGGAUGGGUUAGAGUAGUUUAGAAUCCUUGAUCUGCUAGGUGGUUGAGUUUGAUUGGUAGAUCCCUUCUGGAUUAGUUGUUCUUAAUGCUGAUUGCUUUCUGAUCAACUGGAAUCUGAGCCCAGACAUUUCCGCACCCAAAAGGUGUUCGAUGAAAUGUCUGAACCACUAAUUCCAGAGAUUCGUGGCUCUAUACCAAGGUAUUGGUUACAGGGAGCGUUUUGGCUUAGACUUGUUGUUUCGUAAUGCCUGUUAGGUUAGCUCUCGUCAAUGGUGAUUGAGUCUGGGACUAGCUUUGCUUGAGGAUCUCUGUUGCGGUAGCACUUUGAUUUGGCUAUUGAACUUGUUGUCUAGGGAUAGUUUGUUGAGCAUGUUAACCACCUGUUAGAUUAAGGAGACUUCACUACUCGAUUACCCCAUCCUCGGGAAUUUCUCUUCCAAUUGAUUUCUUUGUUUACAUCGCUUUUGAUUGCUUGAUCUUGUCACUUGGUUCUUAAUUUUCGUUUUUGGCUUAAUUCACGUGAAGUACUCGACCACACACAGUGGUUUGGAAACGAACUGUGUGGUAGAGUAGUUUUAUUGCAGUUUCUCCUGUUACUCGACCUGAUACUCGACAACACCCAGUGCUUGGCAUCAGGCUGUGUUGGUCGAGUAUAUUAGUUAUUUCUGUUAUAAUUUUUGUUUUUGCAUGAUCACUUAGGAUUGUUAACAACAUCAAAACCUGUUAUUGCUUGGCUUGACUCUGUAAAAUCUGAUUGCAUCUUGAUUGCUAGCAUCACACCCAUUUGGAUUGACACCUUAAAUACUACAAUGACAUGAUAGUACUUUAAGGAUAAUUGAUCUUAGCUAAAAUCCUACUAUCAAUUUGGCGCCGUUGCCGUCUGGGUGUUUGUUUGUUACAUUUGAGAUUUCAGACUUGCUUAGAUCAAGUUCUAUUUCAAUUUUCACUUCAGUUACUAACUUUUUGUUUUUCUUGUUGUCUUCUUGAUCCGGGUACAACCCUGCUGUAUGCAAACUCGAUCAAAAGGCAACCAGAACCUCCUUUUCAACGACAACAUUGACCGUAUUGACAGAGAGCUAAGGGAAAGGAGAGACACUACAGACCUUGAACACAACCAUCCUUUAAGAAUGGCUGAUGAACAAGAUGUCAAUAAUCUGCCAGCAAACAUUGGUGCUGGAGAUGCACCAAGAAACCACCAUCAAAGGCAAGGAAUUGUGCCUCCUGCUGUCCAAAACAACAACUUCGAGAUUAAAAGUGGUCUCAUUUCGAUGAUUCAAGGAAACAAGUUCCAUGGUCUGCCUCUGGAAGAUCCCUUAGACCACUUGGAUAACUUCGACAGGCUCUGCAGCCUAACCAAGAUAAACGGUGUUAGUGAGGACAGUUUCAAGUUGCGCCUGUUUCCCUUCUCACUGGGAGAUAAAGCACAUCAAUGGGAAAAGACAUUACCUGCUGGCUCCAUCACAUCUUGGGACGAUUGCAAGAAGGCCUUCUUAACAAAGUUUUUCUCCAAUUCAAGAACUGCAAGGCUUAGGAAUGAAAUCUCCAGUUUUACCCAAAAGCAGUCUGAAUCCAUUUGUGAAGCCUGGGAGAGAUUCAAAGGCUACACUAUACAGUGUCCACACCAUGGUUUCAAGAAGGCUUCUCUACUAAGCACACUUUACAGGGGAGUUUUGCCCAAGAUCAGAAUGUUGCUGGAUACUGCUUCUAAUGGGAAUUUCUUGAAUAAGGAUGUUGAAGACGGCUAGGAAUUAAUUGAGAACUUAGCUCAAUCCGAUGGUAAUUAUAACGAGGAUUUUGAUCGCUCCAACAGAGGUAUUGGAGAAUCGGAUGCAAAGCAUAGUAAAGAGAUGAAAGCUCUUAAUGAGAAACUGGAUAGGCUUAUCCUUGGCCAGCAGAAGAAUGUGCACUUUCUACUUGAUGACGAGCAGUAUCAAGUCCAAGAUGGGGAGGGGAACCAGUUAGAAGAGGUCAGCUACAUCAACAAUCAAGGCGGCUACAAAGGGUAUAACAACUUCAAGACUAACAACCCCAACCUUUCUUACCGCAGCACCAACGUUGCUAAUCCACAGGAUCAAGUGUAUCCUCCACAACAACAGCCGGGUCAGAAUAAACCUUUUGUUCCCUACAACCAAGGUUUUGCUCCCAAGCAACAAUUUCAGAGGAACUACCAGCAGCAACCACCACCUGGGUUUGCAGCUCAGCAACACCAAGGUCAUGCUGCCCCCGAUUCUGACAUGAAGCAAAUGCUACAACAGCUUCUCCAAGGACAAGCAUCUGGCUCCAUGGAGAUUGCUAAGAAGAUAUCUGAAUUACACAAUAAGCUGGACUGUAGCUACAAUGACUUGAAUGUGAAAGUGGAGGCAUUGAAUUCUAAAGUCCGAUACUUGGAAGGACAAUCUGCAUCAACUUCUGCUCCAAAACCUACUGGCCAACUUCCAGGCAAAGCGAUUCAGAAUCCAAAAGACUAUGCUCAGGCUCAUGCUAUCACCCUGCGCAGUGGUAAAGAACUUCCAACCAGAGAGGGACCUAAGCCAGCCACUGAGGACAGUGCAGACCAAGAUGGGGAGGAUUUCAAUCUCAAUGAAGAUCAAGUUGACAAGCCAAUAGAAGUACUCGACCCUCCACUCGACCAUGUUACUCGAUCACCAAUUCCAGUAACAUCACCUGCUGUUCUAAAACCAGUUGCUGCUAAGAACAAGGAGAAGGUUUUUGUUCCUCCUCCUUACAAACCCCCACUUCCAUUCCCUGGACGACACAAGAAAGCAUUGGCAGAAAAGUAUAGAGCUAUGUUUGCCAAGAACAUCAAAGAAGUUGAAUUAAGAAUACCUCUUGUUGAUGCUCUCGCGCUUAUUCCGGAUUCCCACAAGUUUUUGAAAGACCUGAUCAUGGAAAGAAUUCAAGAAGUGCAAGGAAUGGUAGUAUUGAGUCAUGAAUGCAGUGCUAUUAUUCAGAAGAAGAUCAUUCCAAAGAAGCUUGGUGAUCCUGGCUCAUUCACUCUACCGUGUUCAUUAGGUCCUUUAUCAUUCAACAGAUGCCUCUGCGAUCUAGACGCAUCAGUGAGCCUCAUGCCUCUCUCAGUUGCGAAAAGACUUGGUUUCAGCAAAUACAAAGAUUGCAAUAUCUCUCUGAUUCUAGCAGACAGAUCCAUCAGAAUACCUCAUGGCCUGCUUGAAGACUUACCAAUCAAGAUCGGAGUCGUAGAGAUACCUACUGAUUUUGUAGUGCUUGAAAUGGAUGAAGAACCAAAGGACCCUCUGAUUCUGGGAAGACCUUUCUUGGCGACUGCUGGAGCUAUCAUUGAUGUCAAGAAGGGGAAGAUCGAUUUGAACCUUGGUAAAGACCUUAAAAUGACCUUUGAUAUAAAGGAUGUAAUGAAGAAGCCAACUAUAGAAGGGCAACUCUUUUGGAUUGAAGAAAUGGAUCAGUUAGCUGAUGAGUUACUAGAGGAACUAGCAGAAGAAGAUCACCUUAAGAGUGCUUUGACCAAGAAUGGUGAAGAAGGGUUUCUGCAUUUAGAAACUUUGGGUUACCAAAAGCUGUUGGACUCACACAAAGCAGUAGAAGAGUCAGAAUCCUUUGAGGAAUUGAAUGGGUCAGCAACAGAGGUAAUGGCAGUGAAUGACGAGGACUCAACUCAGGCUCAACCUGCUCACUCGAGGACUCACUCGACUGAACACUCGACCACUACAGUUGACAUCCCUGCGGAGCUGAUCAUUCCAACAUCAGACGACUGGUCUGAACUCAAGGCACCAAAAGUUGAACUUAAGCCGCUUCCCAAAGGACUCAGGUAUGCAUUUCUAGGUAACAACUCUACAUAUCCUGUCAUUGUGAAUGAUGCAUUAACUGAUGAACAAGUGCAUCUUCUGUUAACUGAACUGAAAAAGUAUAGAAGAGCCAUUGGUUAUUCACUUGAUGAUAUAAAGGGCAUUUCACCUAGUUUAUGCACACAUCGCAUUCAUCUUGAAAAUGAAUCUUAUUCGAGCAUUGAACCCCAAAGAAGGUUGAAUCCUAAUUUAAAAGAAGUAGUAAAGAAAGAGAUACUUAAACUAUUGGAAGCAGGUGUAAUUUACCCUAUUUCCGAUAGCACUUGGGUAUCUCCAGUUCAUUGCGUUCCAAAGAAAGGAGGUAUGACUGUUGUAAAAAAUGAUAAAGAUGAGCUAAUACCCACUAGAACUAUAACUGGACAUAGAAUGUGCAUUGAUUAUAGGAAGUUGAAUUCUGCAUCUAGGAAAGAUCAUUUUCCACUUCCAUUCAUUGAUCAAAUGCUAGAAAGGUUGGCUAAUCACCCAUAUUACUGCUUUCUUGAUGGUUAUAGUGGUUUCUUUCAAAUACCAAUUCACCCUAAUGAUCAAGAGAAAACUACAUUCACAUGUCCAUAUGGAACUUUUGCAUAUAAAAGAAUGCCUUUUGGUCUCUGUAAUGCACCAGCUACAUUUCAGCGGUGCAUGACUUCUAUCUUCUCGGAUUUAAUUGAGGAGAUGGUUGAGGUAUUCAUGGAUGAAUUUUCCGUGUAUGGCUCCUCCUUCUCCUCUUGUUUGUCAAACUUGUGUAGAGUACUUUCUAGGUGUGAAGAGACGAACUUGGUACUCAACUGGGAAAAAUGCCAUUUCAUGGUCAAAGAAGGCAUUGUAUUGGGGCACAAGAUUUCAGAGAAGGGUAUAGAGGUUGACAGAGCAAAGAUUGAGGUUAUGGUGCAACUGCAACCACCAAAGAGUGUCAAGGACGUGAGAAGUUUUCUGGGACAUGCUGGGUUUUAUAGAAGGUUUAUCAAGGAUUUCUCCAAGCUGGCAAGACCAAUGACAAGGCUGCUGUGUAAGGAAACAGAGUUUGAUUUUGAUGAGGAAUGCCUGAAAGCUUUUCCACUCAUCAAGGAAGCUCUGAUUUCAGCUCCAAUAGUCCAAGCUCUAAACUGGGACUAUCCAUUCGAAAUCAUGUGUGACGCCUCAGAUUACGCUGUAGGAGCAGUCUUGGGACAAAAGAUUGACAAGAAGCUCCAUGUCAUCUAUUACGCAAGUAGAACAAUGGAUGAUGCUCAGGUGAAGUAUGCCACGACAGAGAAGGAGUUAUUGGCAGUUGUUUUUGCGUUUGAAAAGUUCAGAAGCUACUUGGUGGGUUCUAAAGUCAUAGUCUACACAGAUCAUGCAACCUUGAGACACAUUUAUGCAAAGAAGGACACUAAGCCAAGACUAUUGAGAUGGAUACUACUUCUGCAAGAGUUUGAAAUGGAAAUAGUAGACAAGAAGGGUAUAGAGAACGGUGUAGCUGAUCACUUAUCAAGGAUGAGGAUCGAUGAUGAAGUCCCUAUUGAUGAUUCGAUGCCAGAGGAGCAACUCAUGGUUACAGAAUUCUUUGGAAAGAAUUACAGUGGGAAUGAGUUUCACCAACUGAAUGCUGUUGAAGGAAAAUCUCCAUGGUAUGCUGAUCAUGUCAAUUACUUGGCCUGCGGAGUAGAGCCUCCCAACCUGACCAGUUAUGAAAAGAAGAAGUUUUUCAGAGAUAUCAACCACUACUACUGGGAUGAGCCAUAUCUUUACACUCUCUGUAAAGACAAAAUUUACAGAAGAUGUAUCUCAGAGGAGGAAGUGGAAGACAUCUUGCUUCACUGCCAUGGUUCAACAUAUGGUGGUCACUUUGCGACUUUUAAGACAGUAUCUAAGGUACUGCAAGCAGGCUUCUGGUGGCCAACCAUGUUCAAAGACGCCCAGCAGUUCAUAUCAAGAUGUGACUCAUGCCAAAGGAAGGGAAACAUCAGCAGAAGAAAUGAAAUGCCACAAAAUCCUAUACUAGAGGUAGAAAUCUUUGACGUCUGGGGAAUCGACUUUAUGGGGCCGUUCCCUUCUUCCUAUGGGAACAAAUACAUCUUGGUAGCAGUAGACUACGUGUCCAAGUGGGUUGAGGCCAUUGCAAGUCCGACAAAUGACUCAAGGGUGGUUCUGAAGAUGUUUAAAACCAUAAUUUUCCCUAGAUUUGGUAUACCAAGGGUCGUCAUCAGUGAUGGAGGUACACACUUCAUCAACAAAGUCUUUGAGAACUUAUUGAAGAAACACGGAGUGAAGCAUAAGGUAGCCACUCCUUAUCAUCCACAGACAAGUGGUCAGGUUGAGAUCUCCAACAGGGAGAUAAAAGCAAUUCUGGAGAAAACUGUUGGGACUACAAAGAAAGACUGGUCUGCAAAGCUAGAUGAUGCACUAUGGGCUUACAGGACAGCAUUCAAAACCCCUAUUGGUACAACUCCCUUCAACCUUCUCUAUGGAAAAUCCUGUCACUUACCUGUUGAGCUCGAGUACAAGGCUAUGUGGGCUGUGAAGCUUCUGAAUUACGACAUCAAAACUGCUGGAGAGAAGAGGUUGAUCCAGCUGAAUGAUCUCAAUGAAGUUAGGUUGGAAGCUUAUGAAAGCUCUAAAUCUACAAAGAGUGGACUAAGCUUUUCCAUGAUAAGAAGAUCAUCACCAAGGACUUCCAAGUUGGUGAUCAAGUGCUGCUAUUCAAUUCUCGCCUGAAACUCUUUCCAGGCAAGCUCAAGUCUAGAUGGUCUGGUCCCUUCUGUGUUACUGGAGUUCGCCCUUAUGGAGCAAUCACUCUAGCUGGUAAGAGUGGAGAUUUCACAGUGAAUGACCAAAGACUCAAGAAAUACUUAGCAGAUCAAAUCUUCCCAGAGGUGACCUCAGUUCACCUCCAGGAACCUCUUGAUGCUUAAGGGAGUAAGGAAGUCAAGCUAAUGACUUAAAACAAGCUCACUUGGGAGGAAGUCCCAUGUCUAUCCCUGUACAUAUUUUUACUUUCCUUGUUAUUUUUAAUGCAUUUUGGUAGUGCUUUCAGAAAAUAAGUGUCAUGAGCUGAGUGAAGUGGAUUUUGGCUCUGAGAGUUCAACACAAUACUCAACCACAAGGGCAAAGAGCAAGUGGAGCUAUGUAAUCGAGUAUCAAAGUGGUUUUCGUCUCAAGAAUUUUGAAGUUUCGACUUACCACUCUAUCACGCGAAGCCACUUGGUAAUGAGGAGAAGUGGUCGAGUAUAUGUGAUGAUUUUGGCCCAAAAUUUUUGAAAGUCAUCACUAUACUCGACCAACAGAGAUCACAGAGACUUACAGAAGAAUGAUUGAGUUUACAGAAGAUUGCGGGUUGUUCUGAGACUUUCCCAGUCAACAGAAAAAAAUGAUUCAAGGUAAAGAGAUAGAGCAUGGCCCACCGCCUUUACUUUUUGUCUCCCCACGCGCUUUUGAAGAUGAAGUGAAUCACCAAUUCAUUCUCCACCACUCUUUUUGAAAUCGCCCUCAUCCUAUCCAAACACUAAAGGUUCACACUCAUCUCACUCCUUCUUCUCCCACCGACACUAUCAUCUUUCAUCACUCUCUCCUAAAUCGCAAACACACAUACCUCUCUUCAUCUUCUUCGCUCACGAGUCUCUAUUCAUCAUCUUCUUCCUCUCAACUCUCAUCCCAUCCAAACACUUCCAACCGCAAGUCACCAUUUCUCUAACUUCACCACCUCCACCAUUCCCUCGAUUCACCACCCAUUUCACAAAUCACUUUACCACCAAACGCGAUUUAACCGGAGAAGAACACCAUGGAGUAAACAGAAGCAAAGUUCACCUCGCCAAGCUGCUCACUCGACUCCCUUUUCACGAACUCGACAUCCAUCUUUCUAAGAUACUCGAUCGCAUUCGGAGAGGAGAAGCAACUUUUCACCACUCGACCACCGUGCUCGACCUCCAAACUAAACCGGUACUCGAUCUCAGAUCCAAUACUUGACCGGUUUAACUUCGCUACUCGACCUCCAUCUUGAACCAUACUCGACCGCUCCUCACCCUUGCUAUCGCGUUCUUCACCAACGAUUCGCAAUUCUCAACCAGACAAGCCACAGUACUCGACUGGAUACUCGAUUUCACAGGAGAAAACGGUUUAUCUUUCAAACCAGUUUCGCUUUGUAUAAUCUCUUAACACUAACCUGUUAACUUUUGAGCUUUGAGUUUUGAAAAUUCUCAGGAAUCAACAUGAGCAAUUACACUGGUGGUCCUUCAACAGAUUCUGAUUACAAUGUUGAUGAUUCAGAAUCAUGGUCUUCAAGACCAGCAAGAGAACAGGAGGAAUAUGAAACCUUCCGAAGGAGAGCUGAGAUAGCUCGUGGGAAGAGAGAAAUGACAGCAAGGUAUGAGCUCAUAGAUGAGGAUUUAGAUGACUUGGAAGAUGAGGAUGUCCCUGAACCUUCUCCCAGACCUACAAAGCUCCUGAACAAACCUGAUGAGCUUCCAGUUGAAGAGUACAUCAGACUCUUCUACUUGAAUGAAUUCUGUGGAACAAGGUAUCCAUGUCCUCAGACAUUGGAGAAGCUGGGGUUGCUGGAAGAUGUCGAGCACCUGUUCCAGAGUUGUCACCUGGACACUCUGAUGAGCUACCCCUAUGUUGCUUAUGAGGAUGAAACGAUACAGUUUCUUUUGAGUCUACAAGUGGAAAUCUACCAAGGAAUGACUACAGAUGAGUUGCGAAGCGACGGGUUGGGCUUCAUCACAUUCACAGUGCAUGGGCAGGACUACAUGCUGACAAUCCAACGGUUGGAAGGACUGUUUGCAUUCCCCAGUGGAACGGGAACCAAACAGAGGUUUGAUAGAAGCGAGCUGAAGAAUCUAUGGCUCACCAUUGGCAGCACCUCAGCGCUUAACUCUUCGAGAUCAAAGAGUAAUCAAAUACGUAUCCCGGUCGUCAGGUACUUCCAACGCUCAGUAGCUCAUGUUCUUUACUCCAGAGAAGCUACAGGGACGGUCACCAACACUGAUAUGGAGAUGAUCUCCAUGGCUCUCAAAGGCACUCUCCAUCGGGCCAAUAACAAUCAGAUUCUGCACGGCGAUACCACUGACACACCUCUUGUUAUUCUCUUGUUGCUCCACCUGUGUGGUUACAAGAAAUGGGCUGUCUCCAAUAAUAACAAGAGAGCACGAGGUUCUCUCUGCAUAGGAGGUGUGGUGACACCAAUUCUGAUUGCAUGUGGAGUCCCCAUCGUCUCCAAGGGGCAUGAAUGGAAGUGGAUGGAUAUUGAGCACCUACAUCACAUUGAAUUCCUGGAACGUGCGAUGGUUGGCGACAUGUAUAGAUAUCGCUUUGAGCACCCCACAACCAAGAGAGCCAACAUCCUUCUUCCCCGCCCUGAGCUUACACGCAUCAUAGAGGGAUAUAACAUCAACUUUGAACCUUCAGUUGACGACCUGUACGUCGAGAUAGCUCAGCCAACGCACGAGGCUGUUCCUGCAGAAGAAGAAGCUGCAGAUGAUGAGAUUGAUGAGAUGGAAGUAGAUUGGGAAGAGCCAUAUGAUACAAGUAUGUAUCAUUUCAGUGAACACGUUGCUCCAGCAAGAGAGAGUAAGAGCUUGAGUGAAGCUCACAAAAACCAGAGCCUAUUGCAGAAGUGGUGCAAGAAGCAGGACAAGUACAUCAACAAGCUCAUAAAGGGUAUGAAGUCUCUGAAGUCCAUAGUUAGCUGCUCGUCUUCCAGCACAGCAGUACCACAAGGACAGCUUCCUCAAGACAUGCCUUCGAGGAGAUAUGAUGAGCCUGAGCCUAGUGGGCAUGAAAUCUCUCCAAUCCCUGCAAGGCACUCAUCACACGAGCCUCGAGCACACAAGAGGAGAAAGAAGGCUGUACUUGCCCGUUCCAACAGCACAACGCUGCUAAUGCGCUCCAGGAGCACACUCGACCGCGGUGCUGGCCGCAGAAGGAGAAGGGACGUCGAGCACCAACAGGAAGGAGAAGCUGAAACGCAACAAGGAUGAUCACCUGCAAUCUUACUUCAACUGAGGUAAGCACUACCAUUCACCAUUGUCAAAUACCAUCUUCUGUUUAUUUUGUUUCUGUGUUGUUUUUGUCCUGAGUACUCUCUUCCAAGUUUGAUCACACAGAGGACUGUGUGAUUUAAGUUUGGGGGAGGGCUCAGGAAGUGUUUGUUAUCUGAUGUGUUUGCUUUGUUCUUGUUUUCAAAUUUUUCUUGCAUUGUGCAUAUUGUCUGCAUUCAUUUAUGUCAUUGAAAAAAACCUAAAAAUUUGAAAAAUUUCUGAAAAAGAUUUCACAAAAAACAGUGUUCAUGUAGCUGCAUUGUCAUUUUAGGAUUGAGUCUAGAAGGUUUCAUAUAGGAUUGUUGCAUUUGCAUAGGGGAUGAUGAUGAGAUAACCUUGUAAGCAUGCUCAUUUACUGAAUGGAUUUAAUGCCCUCGUUAUUGGUUGUUUAAUGCUUGUGAUAGAACUUGAAUUAAGACUGCACCAUAUUUGGAAUUCACAACUUGACUCUCUUGUUUUAAUUGAAGCAUGCUUGAUGUGAUUCUUUUCCCUAUCUAUUAGAACCUGAACUUGACUUAUAAUUAUCAUGUCUUUGCAUUGUUGUUGAACUUGUGGUUACCAAUACAUAUACUUGGAUUUUCUUUCACCUUCUACCACUCUUGCUAAUCCAAGUAGCUGAUUCCCAGCAUUGGAACAGUUUCCCCCACCCUGAACCUAACCUUUCUUUCAAGCCCUGAAUAAAUUUGUGUGUGUGUGAGGCCUAUUUCCGGAUUGAGCUUGGUAGAAAGUGUUAGGUAUGAACCGACAAGAAUGGUAUCCCAUAUAGUUAUAGUCCACGCUUUUUGGGCUAGAUAGGACUAGGUGGGAGUUUUACUUUGGGUUUGGGAAUGUGUUUGGAAUAAAAAUGAGAAAGAAAGACAAGUGUUAUUGUUCUUAGGAGAUGGAAGUGAAACAGAAAAGAAUAUCUUGUUAGUCUAAUAAAGGAUUUGGGAAGCUUGAAAAUAAAAGAAUUUAGGCUCUGUGCAAAGUAAAAAGAAAGGCAAAAACCUAGAGUUGUCUUAAGUCAUGAGAUGAGAAGAAGAGCCUUAGUUGUUAAAGAAAGUCCCAAUCCGCUAGAAAGUCUAAAAGAAAACCUCUCCUUAGAACAGAACAAAGGACGGGAGUUUCUUCCCAAAGCAGGUGUGGAAGCACCGAAACAUGUUCCCAAUCUUCUCUUUUUCUAGAAUAAAGAUAGUUAUUUGAGGAUUGAGCUUCUUGAGAAGUCGAUUGAUCUCAAGUAACGGUAUGUUAGUUAAAGGUUACUUGAUUGGGAUGAAGCUCUGGCAACAAAUCCCGAGCUCGAAGACGAUCGAACCCUAGAAGUAUUACCUCGGGGACGUCUAGGGGGUAACAUCCCUGAACCCAGCGGCUCCUUUAAAACGAUUCCUGAAUCAGGAUUUACAUCCUGAGUUUCGGCAGAUUCAGGAAUAGGCAAAUUCGAAGAAGCAUUUCUGCCCUUGUGUUUUUGGGACGGCCCUGGAGUAGGGAUUCAAGUUCCUCGGCCUUCCUCUUUUUCAUGAGAGAAGAAUCACCUGUAAGGCCUUCUUCGUCAGCGGUGGCAGCAACCAUGUUGUUUGCUGCUGGGAUGGGGGAGGGAGCAUUGUUCACAGCAACCGCCAUUGACUUUGAACCUUCAAGAGAUCCAUCGUCAACAAGGAGAGUUUUCCGGUAGACUUUGUCGUCCCCGGUGGAAGUUGCGUUUUUCUUAUUUUUCUCGAUUAGGGAAAUCUGGUCUUUAACCUUUUUGUUCGCCUCUUUGAUCUUUCUCCUGUCUCGGGCAUUUAGACUCGAGAGAUCAAUCUCAGCAGGAGGAGGGUCGACGGGGUGAGUAAGUGUCAUUCUGACAGAAAACCCGGCGCCGUGAACUCUUUCCAGCGUAAAAGAAUUCCAAUUAAUUGGCCUCUCCAAGACGGCCUUGUAGAAGUUGAGAAAGUUGACGGAUGGAACUGGUCGAAUCUGAGGACGUGCGAGAAAACAAGGAAAUGUUGAAACGCAGUUUGAAAUAACAAACGGAAUUUAUUCAGUUAAGUCCUAAUUUCUACCCAAAUUCGAUGACCAGUGAGUUCGAAGGAGUUCGGAAGAACUCUGAAUAGAAACAUUAUUUAUGCGGAAGAAGAACCAAAACUUCCUCCAUGUGGUGUCCUUUAAAGGCAGGCCAUCAAUAAGAUUCCGAUCCGCGUUCGGAUAAAUGGCAUAAUACCCAGAAGUUAGGGAUUCGCGAGCUUGGAAAAGUUCCAAGAGUUCGCAGAGUCCCAAUGAGUAGUCCAUCUCCGCCGCAACAGUGAGGGUACACAAAAGAUACCGGAGCAUGUUGGGCGACAUCUGGGAGAAAGCAAUUCCCAGAUGGUUGAGGUAGACGAGAAGCACCUCAGGAAGGGGAAAGAAUAAGCGCACCCUUUGAAAUAAAUUUCAUAGGCACAGCAGUAACCUUCUCGCCCCGACUCCGGAGACUCGAAGGGCUCCGGAACUACCAUCUCUACCUCAGGGGGGAUGAGACAUAAUCUACGACGAUCGUUGAGAGAAUCGAUAGUUGAUUCACUAUGGGGGUGAAGAUCAAAGCCAUCUCCGGUUUGAAUUUGAGGUCCGGAUCCUUCACCCACGAGAGCUUCGAGAUCGUCAGCCUCGUAUUCGCGGAAUUCGGAAGAAAGGUUCGACAUUUUACAAAAGGGAUUUUUUACCAAAAAGAAAACAAUGACUUCUGUAAUAAAAAUGAAGGUUCUCUAGGUAAAGAAGAUAAGAUGGAAAAGUAAUAUUACCUCUUAGAACCCUAAAGUAUGAUGAAAGACCGCCUCGAGAAUAUUGGGAAGUGGGACGGUUUUCCCCGCAGUAUUAAUAUAAAAUUAGAAAAUUAAUGAUGACGGUUGUCAGGGAUAUCAAAUCAUCUGAUUAUCCGAGAUCGGCGUAAUAGCGUAAAACAUGGAAUAAUUCUGGAAUGUUAAAGAUCUCGAGUCAUUAAUUACUGUUUACUUAAGUCUUCCAAGCCGAGCACUCAGCUCGCAAGACUUGGGGGGCUAAAUGUUGGGGUCGGAUCCCACACAUUUUUGGUAGGAUCCACUUGGAUCUGUCCACGUCAUUAUUACAUAAUAAUCCUCUUGGAGUUAAAGAUAUUUUAUUAUGAGAAUCGAGCUUAACCAGUCGGGAGUUCGAUUCAGUUUAUUAAAAGAGUUCGAUCUUUACCAGUACGGAGUUCGCUCUUAUUUCAACAUACAGUUCGCAUAGAAAAAGGCCGAAGCGAGGAGAAUAUUGUUCGGGGCUCGCGGCAGAGUCAAGACGCAGGAGUACGGAGUCAACAAGAAAGAGUUCGGAAGAUCCGCGCGAAGCCCAAGAUAGUUCAAAUUCAAGCCGUUUCGGUCAAAAUGUAACUUACAUGAUUAUUGCGGAUCAAUGCGAUUAUGAGCAGUAAAUGACCAUAUUGAUCAUGUUUUCUCUAUAAAAACAACCUCAAACGCAUGUGUUUGGGGGGGGAUCUGAUUAUUCAUUACUUCAAAGCAAUACAAUACUUUUUUCUCUCUUUACUAUCUUUCGCAAGGCAUUUUGUACUUCUUUCUUAUCAAUUUUCCUCAUUUCUUUUCUUGGUUGAUUUCCUUUUCAAAUUCCCAUAUUCAUUUCCUCAUUUUACAAGAGUUUUUCUCCACAAAAAUACUUAAAGAUAAUCGAGUGUGAAUCCUACAUCCACAAUGUCAAGAAGUGUUGCAGAGAAGCUUGGAUUGCAAGAUUUAUCUCCAUCCGAUCUUAGCUUAGUCUUUGGAGACUCAUCCCAAAAGACUCCCGAUGGAUUAGUUCGCGACUUGCAACUAGUCGUGGGAGAUUGCAUAGUCCCUUCCGAUUUCUACAUCUGGGAGAUGGAUAAGAAGACCGAGAGACCUCUUAUUUUGGGGAGGCUGUUCCUUGCAACCGUUGGUGCCGUGAUUGACCACAACCGCAAGAAGACGAUCUUUGCAAAAAUCAACAAGAAGAUCUCUUAUCCAACAAUCUCUAAGACGAUUCCCUCUCAAGUAAGUCCUCUACUUGAUGAUCAUAUUGGUCCCGAUAUCUAUAAAGCGGAGACAAGCAACCGUGGAGUUCGUGAUAAGACUCCAAAGACGCAAUUCAAACCGCCCGAGCCGUCUCAAAUUUCAAAGAUAAAGAUCAUUGUUCCUCCAAGAGAUGAUACGGCAUACUAAGGAAGUUCUCCUCCAAGCUAAAGUUUUCAAAACUUCGGCUAAAGGACAACUUGUUAUAGAAGCCGGAGCUGACUACCAAGACAUCGAGGAUGCUAAAGGAAAGACGAUUCCUGAAGCUUCACACCACCAAGCCUAAACCGGCUUCCCAAACGUCGAGCCAACGACGUUAAACAAGCGCGCUUAGUGGGAGGCAACCCACUCGUAAGUUUUUCAAUUUCUUUUUAGUUUUACUUUACUUUACUUUUGGUGUUUUUCGUAUUUGCAAUUUCAGGUCUUUCAUAAAAACCAUAAAAACAAAAUAGAAAAUCAGAAAAUCAGAAAAUCAGAAAAAGGAGAGAGGUCCGUCAACCGCCGAACUGGCCACAACCCCCCGUGGCCGGGGCCGACCCUUCACGCCAGACCAGUCACUACCCCUAGUGGCCGGUGUGUCCGUGAACCCGUGGACCGGUCACGACCCAUCGUGACCAGGGCCGUCCCUGAUGCCGAACCCGACCAUACCGUCCGUAUCGCACCGUACCACCGUCCGUACUGCGAUCGUACCAAAACGCACUUCCACGUCCGUUUUCAAAUUUGUCCGAUCAAAUGAUCUAGGAUUGAAUAUCCACCGAUAAAUUGGAUAUUUCAUGAGUAAUGAUCAGGACAGAAUCUUGAAAGAAAUAACCAUUUGCGAGACGUGACGAUUGCAAUACCAAAAGAGCCGUCACCGUACCAACAAUCCCAACUUCAUGCAAUCGACUUGAAAAGAGAAAUUCAUCUGAAAAGUAGCUGUUCUGAAGAGAAUGGCAGAGAAAAACAAGUCAUGAUUCGGAGUGGAUUGGAAGAUAUGACAUAAAGGUACGUCAAAUACUUAUUACUAACCGGUUGAAGUUUAAAUGUCUCAGGAACUACUUUUGAUGAAAUUUCCAUAAGUAAUAUGCCCAUUCCGGAGACAGUGGCCGAGAGAAAAACAACAGUUCCCGGGGUAGAUUGGAAGAUGUCCAAAGCAACUCUUCACCGUGCCGUACCCGGAACACGUGAUUUCAAAGUCAAGAAACUUCACCAUACUCAAAUCACCAGGUAAUAUGUAUAUUUUAAAGUUUUUGGUCGAGAAAAUUAUGUCCGCUUGCGGAAACUUCCGAAAUCGGAACAAAGAACAGUCGGACCGGUCACUAAUGCCCAUGACCGAGGCCACCAUGAAAGCUCAGACCGGUCACGGAUGCUCGUGACCGGGGCAACCAGUGAAGGCCAGACCGGUCGCGACCCACCGUGACCGGGGUGACCCGAGGAGCCCGGAUCGAUCGCAAGCCCUUGUACCCGAUCCGUUUUCUGCUUUCAUUCGUUGCAUGAUCUUGAGCCGAUGUCCCGACGCCGGAUGCAACACACCAAUUCGUGCAAACCAUUCCGUUCCCGACAAGAGAUUCUUUGUAAGUUUCUAUUAUCAGAAAGCCCGAAACUGUGGGCCCAACAACAGGUAAGUUUUCUAUUCCCUCCCUUCCUUUUUAAAGCCCACCUUUUAAUUAGAAACAUCUUUUUAAAAGACUAAGGAGAGCUUUUUGGAUCUAAAACUCUAUUCUUCUUCUCUGCCAAAGCUUUUGAGAGAAAGAUCCAAAACUCACCUCUUUAAAAAAUUUGGGAUUUUUCCAAAUUGAUUAGUGCUUCCUAAUUGAUUUCUUCUAGAGAUUCUUAUUCUCUAACCCAAUUCUACAUAAAGCAAAGGUAUGUCUCUUAAACUCUAAUUCUCUCUUUAUUCCCAAAGUAAGGUAAUCUCAAAUCUCUUGAUUAUUUAGCUUUAGUUAGUUAAUUAGGAUGGAGAACUUGUAGAUAUGCUUAUAGGUUUGUAAUCCAAAGAAUUUGGUAAAGUCUUGUAGCUAGAAUUGGAUUAUAGAUUUGUUGAAUUUUCGGACCUAUAUGGUUUAGUGAAAUUGACGAUGCAAACUCUUAAAUCUUACUUUUUUAAGCUUUAUUCAUCAUGUAUAAGAGGAAUUAGAUAGAUUUUUCACUUGAUUAUGCUUUGAUUAUCACUUUUGAAGUUGAAUUUUGUGAAAAUCACCUUGAAUCCAAAAAUUGUAUUCUAAGUUCAUACUUUAUAUAUUCAAUUUCUUGAUUCUCAUACUUCGCUAUUGUUUCAAAUUGCUAAUUCAAUCUCUAGAUACUUGUUUAAGUAUCAUUGCACUUAGAGAUUUGAAUUUUGGUUUCACCAUGUCUAGUGCUAACUUUGUCUAUAUUUUUUGCACUCUUAGGUACCAAUGGAUUCUAAGAACGCCUCUCGACGUUCGCGACAUUCACGACCACUUGAGGAGCCCGUCCGUUCACAGGAGACCGAUUCUUCCUCCCUCGAGGAAGAGAGAGCGCGACGUAAUGCGCUAGAGCAGCGGCUAGUCGAGCAGAUAGCCCUCACGGAGCAGAUGCAGAGGAUGAUUCGUGAUCCUCGACAUUGAUUUGUCACCACACCGGAUUUGCAACCUCCUCGGCGUAGUAGAGGUCAUUUGGUUCUAUCUUUACUUUUCCCGCAUUUUUCUUUUUCUUUUAUUUUUCUUUUCAUCCGUUCGAUUUGUUACACUGGGGACAAUGUAAUUUAAGUCGGGGGGGGGGGUAUUUAUCCGUACUAACGUACUUUUUCUUUUUCUUUGAGUUAUUUUAAUGUCUUUUUCUUAUUUUAGUUUUAUUGAGUCAAAAACGAUGUAGGGAAUGAUGAUCUUGAUAUAUGAUGAAAAUGACCAUUCCAUAUGUUCUAAUUCAUUUCUUGAGUGACAAGUUUUGCAGGACUCACAAGAACAGUCAAUACCUAGAAGCUCCUAAUGGGAUCUUUCCCCUGAAGUUUCGACUGUAGAGAAUUUGUUUGACCGGAAGUUAACUCUAUUUUAUUUGGACGAUUGAUAUGUCUAUAUUUUACUUGUUUUGAACAUUCAUUUGUCGUCACUUUAGCAUCAUUUCACCACUGUUUCAUACCAUUUCUCAUGAUUUGUCAUCACUUUACAUUUUUAGGAUAGUUUUGCAUGCAUGUUGCAUAUUUGUGUUGUUUUCAGGUGAUUUGGAGUUGUUGGUGAGCAAAUUGGAGGAAGUGGACCGGAACCAAUCAGUAUACUCGACCACGAGGUCAAGUACCAUCAUCCUGGCCACUGAAGCUGAUGCUCGACCACAACACUGAAGCAGAUGCUCGACCACAACUUGCCAUCAACUCUUGAUCGCAUCCUCUGUCAUCAUACUUGACCGUGUGGUCGAGCAACCCGGCGUCCUUGUGUAUCUAGAUCACUCGAUCAACCACUCGAUCGUGUCAGUCGAGUACUCCCAACAAGCUUCCCUCAGAUCACUCGACCAGACACUCGAUCACCACCUCCCCGCAACCACUUGAUCACAAGCUUCAGAGUCUUCUCAGAUCCCAACUCAACCAGACAUUGAGCAUAAGGAAGAGAAGAGGAUGAAGCAGAACUCGAGCACAUACUCGACCCAAGUGCUCGAUCACAACAUGCCCAGAGCAAGAAAUCGCAAAGGCGCCAACUUUAUUCAACCUCUCUACUCGAUCACAAGGGUCGAGUAUCUCCGUAAAACCGCCUUAAUACUUUGUCGUCUUGUGAUUUAGGGUUUCCUAGUAUUUGCUAUAAAAAGGUUGUUUCUCAUAAUUUUCAGACUAAGUUUUAUUCUGCAGAACAAUUAAUGUAUUCUUCAUCUUUGUAAUCCAGAUUUCUCUUAAUCUAUUGAGUAUUUGCUUUUGAUUUCUUCUACAAAGUUGUUCAUCUUGUUGAGAUCUUGCUAAUAUGAAGUUUUUAUGCAUUUCUGGGUUUAUGUUCAUGUUCAUGAGUUUUGAGUAGUGAUUAGGGUUCUUGAGGAUGGGUUAGAGUAGUUUAGAAUCCUUGAUCUGCUAGGUGGUUGAGUUUGAUUGGUAGAUCCCUUCUGGAUUAGUUGUUCUUAAUGCUAAUUUCUUUCUGAUCAACUGGAAUUUGAGCCCAGACAUUUCCGCACCCACAAGGUGUUCGAUGAAAUGUCUGAACCACUAAUUCCAGAGAUUCGUGGCUCUGUACCAAGGUAUUGGUUACAGAGAGCGUUUUGACUUUAACUUGUUGAUUCGUAAUGCCUGUUAGGUUAGCUCUCGUCAAUGGUGAUUGAGUCUGGGACUAGCUUUGCUUGAGGAUCUCUGUUGCGGUAUCACUUUGAUUUGGUUAUUGAACUUGUUGUCUAGGGAUAGUUUGUUGAGCAUGUUAACCACCUGUUAGAUUAAGGAGACUUCACUACUCGAUUACCCCAUCCUCGGGAAUUUCUCUUCCAAUUGAUCUCCUUGUUUACAUCGCUAUUGAUUGCUUGAUCUUGUUGCCUAUUGCUUUGUUUUUGCAUUUUUACUUAUUUCAUUUAAAGUACUUGACCACACACAGUGGUUUGGAAACGGACUGUGUGGUAGAGUACAUUUGUUGCAGUUUCUGUUUGGUACUCGACUUGAUACUCGACCACAUCCAGUGCUUGGCAUCAAGCUGUGUGAUCGAGUAUAUUGCCUGUUUCUAUUAGAAUUUCUGUUUUUGUAUGAUCACCUAGGAUUGUUAGAAACACCAAAACCUGUUAUUUCUUG